rnacentral:lncRNA from 1 species
UCCAUUCUGAAGCCAUAGCGGUUCAGUUGAAUCCAGUAAGAUUUAAUUCCAACUUCUUUGCUAAUUAUCCUUAGCUGGCAAAAUUAGAGAUCCAAUUGGGCAUUGUUGAGAUCAAUCAGGUGUUGAAUAUACAUGGCAGGAUAGUUUCCUUGUGCAAUAUUCAGUUACAAACUUGUGAUUUCAGAAGUCUAUUUCUGAUGUUUAAGUUCAGACUGCGUGCUUGGACAUACACUGAAGUAACAAUGGUUCAUAUUUAACGGUGUAGGUGCAGCUGGGCUCUCCCCAUUGAGUGACUCGGAGAAGAAAUGCAGGAGCUCACGGACAGCAUCCGUGUCAUCAGCCUCAAAGUACCCGUGGGCUUUCCUUUCCUUUAACAUUAAUUUUUCCAAAUUUAUUUUCUUUUAGCUCAUAAGAUAAAUUAUGUCAUAACUAGAAUUUUCUUAUGUGGAAUUGAGUACAUACAAAUAAAGUUAUAUAGAGUAGCUAAUACAUGGCCGACCACUGCUACUGAAUUCAGUGAUCUCCACAUAGUUGUCUGAGGACGUUUGUUCUAUGGUUGAUUGAGAUUCACUUGAUUGAGUAUGCACGUAAAUAUUCAAGUUGGGUUGUUCACAUGCAUGUUCUGCGUACAACAUCACAAAGUACAGAUGCAUUUUUUGUCCACGAGAUCCGGCACUAUUAUAUCUAGAAUGAGCUUUCCCAAGCUCAUUUUGACAUGUGAAAGCUAUUCACCUGCGUUCCUCUGAAUCAGUCUUAGUUCAAGGAACUGUGCCCUUUAUGCCUGGAUCAGGGGCUUUAUAAUUUCAACAGAGGCUCUAUUAUGUCUAAGAUUGGAUCUAAUAUAGGUCUAAACUAGGGCUUUACUUCUGUUGUCUUGGCCGUCGAAGUAGAAGGUGCCCCUUCUGGUUCCAGCACAUGGGUAUUUAUACCCGGUCAUGUGUCUAUUGGAUGCCUUCCUUUCCUGGUCUCCUGGUUGCAAACGCCUUGAGCCUCCCAAUCUUGAUCUCUGAAUGGUGGAUGUGUCGGCCUCUUUCCCGUGUGACUGGUGAACUCCCUUUCACCUGAGGCCUUGACAUUAAGGAAGGACGCGCCGUUAUAGAUGUUCUCUUUAGCAUACAAGUUUUCCCCUUUUAGAGGUAAGAUUAAGGGUUUGAGCGACUCUGAAGAGGGCAUGGCAUGAUGCGGUAUGGGGAAUUUCAACUUCCCGCCGGCAUAGACCAGGGCCGGUGAGUUGAGAUUCCACCCAUUAACGACCAACAUCACAAUGAUGAGACCAAAGCAAUGCAUUAAUCAAGAUCGAGUAGCUCCCAUCACCCAACCUCUCUAGGAGGCACUUUUUAAAAGAAGUAACUGAAAUUAGUAGAUAACAGUAGACAACAACAAGUCUAUAGUUCAGUAAGAAAGAAAUAAAAACUAAACCUAUAAAUCUAUAUCUAUUAAUUCAUAUCGAAACACUUUCUGAAGCACUAUACAUGACAGAAGCAACUUGCACGCAUAAAAACAGUGCAAAGUCCAAAAAAAGACCUAAUUGGGGAAAACGACAAGGAUAUAACAAAUGAUUGAGUGCGUCUUUCUUCCUUGGCCUGAAGCACCCGUUUUUGUGGAAUUGCUGAUGGAUGACCGAAUCGCUUCAAUAGCACCUCCACCUCAUUAUCUUGGACUAGCGGCAUCUCCCACUUCGCCAUCUCAGCCUCCUACUCUUUCUUCUCAACUGUCCGUACUUCCAAUAUGUCCUUCCAUGUCUCCAUCUUUUUGUAUACUGAUUACAGACUCCCCAUAAAUCCUCAUGUUAAUGCGAGAAAAUAGGAUAGAUAUAAGCCAACGGUCCAAUCUACAAUGGUGCAAAUGAACUUCAGGGGGACUGGAUCAAUUCCUGUAGCCAAAUUAAGGAAAGAAAAACACUAUCCAAUGUUUCUUUAUGAAAUGACCUAGUCCGAUAAAUGUUCAUCUACUAAUUUCUUCUUUUGGCCAUCUCUGCCAUUUCAUAUAUAAUCUUCCAAGCCUACGUCCCAACCUAGGUCUCUAAAAGAAGAAGUAACAUGAAAAUACCUCAAUAAAUGCCAAUCGUGCCCCUGAUCUCCUCAUCCUCCAUUCUCAGAGACACAAAUUUAAUAUUAUGGAGAGUGUUGGGAUUUAAAAUCAUGGUGAGGGUAUGGUUUUUAUAACUGAUUGGUUUCUCUGUUUGACUCACUAGUGACAAACUGCGAACUAUAGUGACGGUGAAAUAUGAAAUCCUUAAUUUUAAUUUAUAUCAACUCUAUCAUCAUAUUUUUAUAUUGGCAUUAUGUUGCCGCAACGUAGCAACACCACACAAUAUUAAUUGCUAGGGUCUCUUGGACGAAAAAUGGGAAGAGCCAUCAUGCAUGCUUUAGAUAAACUAAUGUUAGUAUAGUAGGAUCUGACUAUCGCGUAGAAGGUCUGAUUUUCAAGUAAUUCAGCAACUGAAUCUUAUUUGAUUUAGUCAACCAAUAUUUAAUUUUUUGCUAAGAUUCCUGUGCUUUUUCAUGGGGUGAUUACAAUCUCGUAAUGUAGGCAAAUUAUGAUACAACAGUCAGGACCACAUAUUGAGACAUCAUGUACGCUUUCAUAUGGAAAUACAACAACAAUAUAUAGUCUUACAGAAUAAGGGAGAUGGCAAACACUUUUUUUUAGCAUGAGAAACACUAUUAAGAUGAUGAGACUAUCGAAGGUGAAAUACUUUUUAUAUAUGGAAACAGAACUAUUUAUUCACUUAUUAAACACACAUGCCGGCCAUAAUGUCUUGUUGCCAUCUUUAGGAGGACAGUCCGUUUAUUCAUGGACACAUGCCUGGCUAGUAUUCCAAACAUGGCCCAAGCCUACGAUCUACUACAUCUUGUUCAUACAUUGCCAAGAUAAAAAUAAGCUGACCCUUGUUGGCCAUCUGGCACAUAAUUUCCUACCCCGUCCAUAACAGCUGCAACAGAACCCAUCAUCUGCUCCUCACUCCACAUUGGCUGAUGACCCACUUGUUGAUUAUAUAUGGAAGGGGAGCACUGAGCUUGGUUGUUCAUGACUGUUAACGAGCUCGUCGGAGCCUGCAACUUAAAGCUUGGGUCAUUGUUGAGGCCGGUGAAAGAAAGGGCUUGCCAGGUGACAGAAUUAUUAUUUGCUGCCAAUAGCUCAUUGUCAUGGAGCCUGACAUCAUUGAUGCUGUAACGCUUUGUCCCUGACGAUGACUUUUUCUGUAUUCUCUUGAAAAACUUUUGUGCAUGGCUUGAAACUUGGACAGGGGUCUUAGUGGCGACGAAGUGCUUGGAUAUGUUUUUCCAGUCUCCACGGCCAUAGACUUCCAGCCCAUAAAGAAAUGACCUGUGAACAUCAUGUUCAAAAGAAUUGUUAGGUUAAAUUGUUUACUGAAAGAUGAAUUGUGCGGUUGUUUUACUGAAGCAACUAAUAUAGAUUGAAGCAAACUACCAAUUUGACAGGUUCGAACCACUACAACAACGCAUGCUUACUUUUGUUUAUUUACGGGUACUGGAUAGAAUAUAUGUAUAUCAGAAAUCCAUAAGUGAACGAACAUUUUGUAGACAACCAAAACAUAUUACAAAUUCAAAAUUAUCAUACCUCUAUUUUUCUGUAGUGAAACGACAAUCAUUACAGGUUAUUGAUCUGUUUGAUUGCGACAAGACGUACCAUAUCGGAAUUUAAUGGCCUAUUUUACUGCCUUUCUAAUUUUUAAUCAAGGUCCAAUCACAUAAAAAAUUUAAGCCAAAAAGUAAAGUAAGAAAGAAAGUUCAUCAAUAUCUAAUUUGCAGGGAUUAGUAUUUAUCAAAAAUGUAAACUGUAAACAUCCAGAUAUACAUUUAGUAAAGUGCAAUAUCAAUUUAACAUACCUGCCUCAUAGAAUUAAUUCGCAGAGCUUAAUUAUCAUAUGUUGAUUUUAAAUAAAGAACAACUAAAACUACAUGACAAGGAAGAAUAUAGGUAUCGACUAACUUGUGUUCCUCUUUGCUCCAAAACAUUCGUUGAUGUGCGGCAACAACUGGUCGAUCAACGGAAGUAUUGUUCUCCAAGACCACCAUCUUGUUCUUGUCUACCAUCAUCGGAGCCUCCUCCGUCUUCCGGAUUCUUGUAUCCUCCAGUCCGCAACGAAAUGAAAAUCCAUUAUCAUCCAUGGUUGUAUCCUCAUCCUCUUGUGCCUCAAAGUUUUCAUUAACAAGGCCGUCCAUGCUGUAAAUGGAAAUUGACAGUGUCCAGUGUACAUUUAGUAAAGUACAAUAUCAUCACCAACAUAAGCUACUGAUCUCACAUAAUAAAUAUGCACAACAUUCUUAAUUGGUAUAUGUUCACUGAAAACAAACAACAAUUAAAACUACAUGACAAAGGAGAGCAUACAACCAUGGACGAACCUGUGUUCCUCAUCGGUCCAAAAACCCCAUUGAUGUGCGGCAAGAACUGGUUGGUCUAUGGAAAUAUUGUUCUCCAACACCUCCAUCUUGUUAUUGUCUGCCAUCAGCGGUGCCUCACCUGUCACCGUGAUCCCCGUAUUCUCCAUAGGACAACCAAAGGACAAUGCAUUAUUGUCCAUGAUUGUUGCCUCCUCUCGUACACCGAAGUUUUCAUUCGCAUGGUCGCCCAUGGUGUAGAUACUGUGUGUGCUGCUAGCACCAUUCUCCUCCAUCGGUAGCUCAUAGUUACCGUUGAAAGGGUCACAAAAGGUGAAAAUGUUUUGCGGGAUACCACUAGUAACAUGGGUCCCCUCCCUCCAUUGGGUCAUAUGCAUUUCCACGGCGAGAUCAAUAUAAAGAUCUGUUACCUGUUUCAUGGUCUUUGAAGGGAACAAUGCAUGGAGAGACUUCACGAUGUAGUUGUGCUUCUUGUUCUUGUCAUCGUUACGGUCGUACAUGAUUUUGUUGGUGUUGAGCCUAGCAAUGAGUGAGCAUGCCUCCUCUACCUCGGAAGAGAUCCACCCCUGGUUGACUAUUGGAUCCAUGAGAAAGUGGGUAGUUGAACGCUAUAGAAUUAUGAGGAGUAUGAACUAUGAAGAUGGGUUAUAGCUUGGGGAUGGAGACUGGGGAGUAAGAUAGUGUAUUUAUAGCCCUCUUGUGUGCAGUCCUACUUUUGCUAAUUAAUUUGUCUCAUUUAUAGUUUAUCGGUCCAUACUAAAGUAGAUUGAACUAUAGUUAAGAUAUUUAAUUCUUAUGACCCUAUGAGGAACAUCCCAAACUAUUUUAAGUUGACCUUGACAUUGUGUCUUUCUUUGAAAAAAAUCUUUUCUUAUUUUGCCAAUGCGAAUAAUUGCCACGGGCCUCCAAAUAUACUCAAGAUUGCUAGAAACAACACAGGCAGGCCUAUUGAGUAUUGAACAAUUUCGGUGUAGAUAGAUAGGACACGCAUCUUGUGCGCAUGCAUGACAUGUGUUCUCAUCUUCGAGUGCAAGACCCAAACCAUGGUUUCUGCCGCUCUCAAAUAUGUAAAGCACACAGGAUCUAAUUCGGUUUUGGCUGCUAGUGACACGUACAUCAAGGGAGUUUUAUUGCAUACACAUUUGCAAAUAAUUGUUUAAUAUCUCCCCACAAUAACUAGGCUACAUAUAUGAUUCACACAUUACCAGCGAAGGUAAUCAUAUCUUUUCUCUUAAUUUUGGUGACCAUUCUUCCCACAUCCAACUUACGGAAUUCCAUCUAUAGGCAGAUUUCUUGGCUUAGGUCAUUUAAUGACACUUCAUGGUAAAAAGAUUCAAUACAUGGGCCAAUCAAUUAUGUACAUAUCUACAUGUCUUUUUUAUAUGUAUAUAUAUAGAUACAAAUUAAUAACCCAUGAAAUCAAUAAAUUUUACACAUUUAUCUUCCAUCUCUCUCUCUCUCAAAAUAAUUUCGAGAUUUCUACGUGAUAUACACAAACAGAGAUGUUUUAAAAUGGAAAUAGGUUUUUUAAGUGCAUGAUGCAUCGUCUAGCUAUCAUAUGGGACCACGUGCAUACUCAUGCAAUCAUAUGCCAUGUUUCAGCGAUGUUCAUAAAUGGCUUUUGCUUCGUAGUUUUAAACUCAGUUUUAAUACUGUGUAUAAGUUAAUAAACUAGAUUAUAGAAAAGGAAUCAAUGAUAACGGGCUUCACAACUGUAUAUUUUUUCUAGUGAAGGAAAAAGAUUAGAACGUACGAGUAUUAACUUUCAGCCAAUUGUUACGCCAGAUUGCUAACUGGUACAAUUAUAGGAGGUUAAAUUCUAACCGUAGCAUUAUGAAGCAUGCCAACACCAAAUCUACAUCACUGGAGCAGGUAGUCCUGAUAACUACAGUCGGGAAGUCGCUUGACGUUGCUUGAGAUACCAGUGACAACAAUUUGAAGCACAAACCUUCAACACGGAGAACAAGGCGAAGGCCAGGCAAGGGGACCCAACCUACCACGUUGAUGAUAUAAGCUCCAUACCAAUACUUAUCGACGAGAGUACUAGUGCCACAGUGGAUCGAUGUGGAAGCAUUGUAGUUGACGACUCUCCCUCCCAUCUCCACCGUUAUGGUAGAUAUAAAUUGUCUUUUUAUCUAGUUUCAAUUAUUUUGCUCAAUGGAUUCUAUCUUAAACAUACAUUUCUAACAUAAUAAAACUUUUUAUUUCCUUAUAUUGAGCCAAAAAGGAGAAAUAAAUGGAUUUCUAGUCAAAUGCAGCAAUUUGCAGAACUAGUCUGGGCUGCUUUUGUAACCGGAUGGUGUUUUUGCAACAAUCGAGGGUGUUGGUUCACUUUUGGUCUUCCUUUUCAAAAACAUACACAAGCAAAACGACUACUGGUUUCACGUCAACAAGGCAUAUAUUCGGUUUUUCAUUUCCCAAUUUUGUUUAAAUAUAUUGUACAAUUUUUUGUUUUAGUUUACCAUCUUCACUUCCUUUUUAUUGUUGAUUCCCUUUCUUCUUAGUUUUUUUAAUCAUUUGUUAUGUACCCUACAUAGGGCACUCCCUUUAUGUUUUGUUCUUUAUUGUAUCUUUUCCACUUGCUGAUUUGUUCAUUAUUUUUGUUACGCAUUCCUAAGGCAGUCCACAAACCUUUUAUUAUUGCUUCUAGUUUGUUGUCGAACAACCACAUCAAUAUUUUUAAGAUGGUGUGUGUGAAGUUAUUUAAUUAGUAUUCAACAUGGAAAUUUGAAAUAUUUUAACUCAUCAAGAAUACUUUUUCACAAGGAUGGAUAAUUUAGUUUUGUUGGAUAAAGGAACCCCUCUGAUCAUGAAAUAUUUUUUGUCAUAUAUAACUAUUUUUAUAAACUAGGGGAACCAAAUGCAUUUCCACCUCACUCUAUCGUCUGACACCUCUCUCCAAAGAAAGGUGCCUACGAUUCUUGCAUAAGUGCCACCACCAGGUUCACUCUCCUCUAGGGGCCUUUCGGUGCCAUUGAGGUGGGGGAACCCUUGUUGACAUAACCGAAUAUUUUCUUUAGUAGAGUUAUAAACAACUAAGAUUUAAUAGUAUGUAUGCUCUCAAACGAAUCAUGAAAAUAUGGUAAUGCUAUUUUCAAAAUAUGUCCGUGCAUUAGUGUCAUAGAAUUGUCACGGCAGAUGUCCUAAUGUGAGGACUUAGUCGUGAGGCCAACGCAUCUAUGUGAUAGCUUGAGAGGGGUUGAGCGGAAUUGAGAGACGCAACACAAGACAAGGAUUUAGGCAGCUUCGGGUCCCGGGAAACAUUAUCCGGUAAUAACCCUACAUGCUGUUUGUGGCUAGGUCUCAUUAUCAUCACGAGAGAGUCGCCAGUAAACCGGCUCUUUGUGUCUAGCCCUUAAGAUUCUUUCUUCUUCCUUAUCCCUCUUUGGGGAAGCCUGCCCCUCCUUAUAUAAGUUAGAGGGGUGGGUUACAUGUGGAGUCCUGUUAGGAUUAUGACUAGUCUACCCUCUAAUAGAAACCCGAUACAAAUCCGAGUAUUAACUCCUUGUAGGUAAAUAUUCCUCACGCCUUUCCUCUUAAACCGGCCGACCAUUAACAUAAACCGGCCUUCUGGGCCUUGGGCCUUGUCAUCCGUCUGUCCCACCCGCCGGGUUACCAGUGAGUCAUAACGUUCAGACAUGUUGCUUGUAAACCGUCUCGUCAGGGCGGGUCGCCAGUGAAUCGCCAAGUGUCAACUGGGUCUCAAGUAAACCGCCAAGCCCGGCUGGGUCAUAUUUCCGGCCGGGUCAUACCGUGGGGUACAUCCCCGACAAUUAGUAAAAAAACAUGACACAUCUUGUUGAUAAAAUCAAGAAACAUACAACUAAGGAUAGCUUUUCCUGUUUUUUUAGCACAACUUUUUUGUUUUUGUCGAAGAUUCUUGCUUAUUUUUGGUAAAUUAGGUAAAGUACCUAGAAUUAGGGUUUCUACUUCGAAAAUAUGUUUGUGUUUUAACGUCACACUCCCAUCGGUCUGUCCCAUGGACGAGAUCGCGCACGCACACAGAAAUGCCCUAACAUGCUUCUAGCGACUGGAAGUUAUUGGCUUGAUUUUGUCGAGGCGAGUAGUUGCAGAGUUAUUAUACCAAAACCUAGACCCGUUAAGGAAGAAUGAUGUUUCCUCAGUUGUAAGUUGUUGUUACUGAACUCAUUGAGAGUCUAUUAUAGUAUUAGUAUUAGAGAAAUAAAAUAGCUAUGAGCUUAAGACAAACCCCUAAAUUAAGAAAAUGGGCCCAUGGAUCUUCCCACUCCAAAAUUUCUAGGCAUACUCUCACCUAAAGAGGUGAGGAUUGCACUUUACCGGGUCGGAGAAAACAAGUUAUGUUGUACCUUGGGUUGGCUUGCAAAUAGAUUUUCCUCCAUUAUCCUUGGGCUUCUUAGGGUUUUCUAGAUCUAGGUUGCGCUUGUCGCAAAUAAAAAAUUAUAGUUGCUUCACUAGCAUCUUUGCCUUCAUAAUGCAUAAAUCAAUUUUUUGUUCAUUUUACAAUGGUGAUACGUUUUGUUGUCCCCAAAAGCUACACAAGAAUAAUGAUAGUUCAAAAAUAAAAAUUGUUGUAUUAUAAGUUAUAACCAUUACAAAUAACCAUUUUCCUGCAUGUAACAAUUGGUCCAUAUAAAAUAAGAAGAAUAAACACACGAUAACACUAUUUAUCAAUAUACCUAGAUUUUUGUAAAUUUGUCACUAGAUUUUUGUUGGUGAUACAAAAAUGGACAAUAUAAUUGUAUAUUGGUAAAUAUCUACAUAUACCUAGUCCUAGGUACAAAAAGAUGUCAAUCAUGCAUAGUAGUAUUAUGUGUGGUCCAGGGUCCUUUGAUCUACACAAAUUUGAAGUGUCACCAUAGCAUCAUGCCUCCGCUCCAUCUGCAUCGAUGUCAUAUCCUCACCAGUCGCUUCCUAUGCUGAAGCACGACCCAAAUAAUAUGAUGGAGGAAGUGCGCAAGAGCAAGCAACACUACAUGGCCACAUGGUGUGGAAGGAUGCUGAUGAGAGAGACACGAGAUGUGAGGAUAAUGCUUAUUGGGAAGCAUGCUCAAUAGGGGAAGAGGAGGUGGUAGCUCAUGAAUAUUUGAGGGUGCACAAUAUUUUUUAUGUGCACGUGAACUUGUAUGGGUUUUGAUCCAUCGACGAGUUUCUUCAUCAUUUAAAAGAGAAGCUUAAAUACCAUGGUGUAGAGCGAGGCCGGCGAGAUGAGAUUCCACCCAUCAAUGGCCAACAUCAGACUAAAUUAACUGAAAGAGCAUGGUCGCCCCAUCUUUGGUUUUGGUAAUUUAUGACAAUCCCUAUGGACUAAUGGUUGCUUUGAAAUACUUGAAGGGUUUGUCCAUAGGAAAUUCUUGAAGAUCAUAUGUUGGCUUGAAGGCAUAUUAUUGAUGACCAAGGUGUUAUUCAAGGAGUUAUCCAAAGAAUGGUCAUGUGAGAGUUGAGCCUAUUGAAAGCAUGUCUUGAAGAAGAAGAUUAUCUGAACACUCAUGUUUACCUUCAAGACAUCAUCCAUGGAUAGUGAGAAGAAAAGGUUCAAGGUUGAGUUUUGCAAGUUCAAUAGGAGCAUCACGAUGAGAUCACAUCCUUGAAUCUUGCCAUCCAUUCUGGUGAUAAUGGACAAGUGAAUAUAUGCCUAUGAGAUUAUCUCCCAUAGUGGUGUAUGGGCGAGGAAUUUACUAGUCUUCAUCCAGCCAACACAAUCAAUAAAGGUGAUUCAACUUGAGGAGGUCAAGAUUGUCAUCAUCUAGCCAAGGUAUUACCUUGAUAGGUUUGCUAUCUUACUGUUCUCCUUGUGUUAGUUCAGAGACCGGGUUAUAGGAUCAAUAGCCCUAAUAUCAAGGUGGGAUCUCGAGUGAGUAAAUUAAUCAUAUUGUUCAUAGAGAACUCAAACUUUGCAUCCUUGGCAUCAUAUUUCUUGGUUCUUGUUUGGCUUUCUAUUUGUGAGUCUUAGAACCUAUGGUUAUCUUCAUGACAAGAUCCAGUUCAUCGAAAAUGGAUUUUCCUAUGCAUAUUUAAUUACAUUUUUGAUGUUUUUUUGUUGGUUCUUCACUCAUAGAGAUUUCACACUUCUAUAUCAUUUGUAUUUCUCUAGUCGUUAGUGUUCUAUCAAGCUUGAGUUUGUCGAAAUUAGAGUUCAUUUGCAAAAGUUAUGAAAGUUCUAAUUUUACAUGUUUUCUGUAGUCUUUACCUGGUCUAGUUAUACUACUCGUGCUAGUGGUUGUACCGCUCCUUGGAGUGGACAGAGCUAUGCACGGCUUGACGGUUGUACCGUGUUCCUUGGCGGUUGUACCACUACUUUCUUGAGCGGUACUACCAAACCAACUGCUGGUCCAACUACCAUUCGAGAAGUGAUUCCUUUGGGUUUGCCAGCGGUGCUCAGGUGGUGGCCUAGCGGUAGUUCUAGUUAUUUUCAUAAUAACCUAUAAAACCGGGCAACCGGACGGUUCUACCACUUUGUUCGCCCUGGCCACCCCUGUAGCUAGGCCGCAACUCCAAGUUUCAUGCCUGUACCGCUCCAGUGUAUUCUACACUAUAACAGUUAGAUUUGUGGGGGCCUAUUUAAGGGGGUCUUCUUCCCCAAUGGUCCUCACAUUUUUGGAGCACAAUUUCUCCUCCAUUGUUGAACUCCGAAACCUUUGCCUUCUCUCUAUUCCUCCCUUGAAUCUUGCAUCUUUUUUAUGGAAAAGAGAGAGGUGACCUGGAUCUACAUUUUCACCAAUCCAUAUCUCCUCUAAGUGAGGGGAACCUUGUGGAUCUAGAUCUUGGAGUUCUUUGUGUUCUCCUCCUUUGUUAUUCCUUUGAUAUUCCUCCAUAACAUUAGUUGUUUGGUGAGAUUUGGGAGAGAAGGACUUGAGCACUCUAUGUUCUUGCCAUUGCAUUUGGUGCAUAUGUUUGAUUCGUGGGAGUGAAAGUUGAGAAGCUGAUCUUUUAUUCUUGGAUGCUUGGUAACCCAGAGCUUGUUCCUCUUGGGUGCUUGGGCGCUUGCGGUUGGUGUUGUUGCAAAGCUCAAUCAUUGUGGUGUAAAGCUUCAGGCAAGCUUCAGGAGCCUGAUGUCUACUACACAACCUUCUUCUUGUAGAUGUUGUUGGGCCUCCAAGUGCAGAGGUUUGUAGGACAGUAGCAAAUUUCCCUCAAGUGGAUGACCUAAGGUUUAUCAAUCCGUAGGAGGCGUAGGAUGAAGAUGGUCUCUCUCAAGCAACCCUGCAACCAAAUAACAAAGAGUCUCUUGUGUCCCCAACACACCCAAUACAAUGGUAAAUUGUAUAGGUGCACUAGUUCGGCGAAGAGAUGGUGAUACAAGUGCAAUAUGGAUAGAGAUAAUAGUUUUUGUAAUCUGAAAAUAUAAAAACAGCAAGGUAACAAAUGAUAAAAGUGAGUGUAAACGGUAUUGCAAUGUGUUGAAACAAGGCCUAGGGUUCAUACUUCCGCUAGUGCAAGUCCUCUCAACAAUAAUACCAUAAUUGGAUCACAUAACCAUCCCUCAACAUGCAACAAAGAGUCACUCCAAAGUCACUAAUAGCGGAGAACGAACAAAGAGAUUAUGGUAGGGUACGAAACCACCUCAAAGUUAUUCUUUCCAAUCAAUCCAUUGGGAUAUUCCUACAAGUGUCACAAACAGCCCUAGAGUUCGUACUAGAAUAACACCUUAAGACACAAAUCAACCAAAACCCUAAUGUCACCUAGAUACUCCAAUGUCACCUCAAGUAUCCGUGGGUAUGAUUAUACGAUAUGCAUCACACAAUCUCAGAUUCAUCUAUUCAACCAACACAAAGGACCUCAAAGAGUGCCCCAAAGUUCUACCGGAGAAUCACGACGAAACCAUGUGCCAACCCCUAUGCAUAGGUUCAGGGGCGGAACCCGCAAGUUGAUCACCAAAACAUACAUCAAGUGAAUCAUGUGAAAUCCCAUUGUCACCACAGAUACGCAGGGAAAGACAUGCAUCAAGGGUUCUCAAAUCUUUAAGGACUCAAUCCGAUAAGAUUACUUCAAGGGGGAAAACUCAAUCCAUUAUAAGAGAGUAGAGGGGAGGAGAAACAUAAGAUCCAACUAUAAUAGCAAAGCUCGCGAUACAUCAAGAUCGUGCCAAAUCAAGAACACGAGAGAGAGAGAGAGAGACGAAACACAUAGCUACUGGUACAUACCCUCAACCCCGAGGGAGAACUACUUCCUCCUCGUCAUGCAGAGCACCGGGAUGAUGAAGAUGGCCACCGGAGAGGGAUGCCCCCUCCGGCAGGGUGCCGGAACGGGUCUAGAUUGGCUUUUGGUGGCUACGGAGGCUUCUGGCAGCGGACCUCCUGAUCUAUUGUGCUCCCCGAUGUUUUUAGGGUAUAUGGAGAUAUAUAGGCGGAAGAAGUAUGUCAGGGGGGCCACGAGGGGCCCACGAGGGUGGAGGGCGCGCCUAGGGGGUGGGCGCGCCCCCUACCUCGUGGCCCCCUCAAAGCUUCCCUUACGUGCACUUUAAGUCUUCUGGGCUUCUUUCCUUCCAAAAAUGAGUUCCGUGAAGCUUCAGGUCAAUUGGACUCCGUUUGAUUUUCCUUUUCUUCGAAACCCUAAAAUAGGCAAAAACAUAAAUUGGCACUGGGCUCUGGGUUAAUAGGUUAGUCCUAAAAAUGAUAUAAAAGUGUAUAAUAAAGCCCAUAAACAUCCAAAACAGUAGAUAAUAUAGCAUGGAGCAAUCAAAAAUUAUAGAUACGUUGGAGACGUAUCAGCAUCCCCAAGCUUAAUUCCUGCUCGUCCUCGAGCAGGUAAAUGAUAAAAACAGAAUUUUUGAUGCGGAGUGCUACUUGGCAUAAUUUCAGUUUAAUUCUUCUUAAUUGUGGCAUGAAUAUUCAGAUCCAUAAGAUUCAAUACAAAAGUUUAAUAUUGACAUAAAAACAAUAAUACUUCAAGCAUACUAACUAAGCAAUCAUGUCUUCUCAAAAUAACAUGGCCAAAGAAAGCUAUCCCUACAAAAUCAUAUAGUCUGGCUAUGCUCCAUCUUCACCACACAAAAUAUUUAAAUCAUGCACAACCCUGAUGACAAGCCAAGCAAUUGUUUCCUACUUUUGACAUUUUCAAAACUUUUUCGAUCUUCACGCAAUACAUGAGCGUGAGCCAUGGAUAUAGCACUAUAUGUGGAAUAGAAUGGUGGUUGUGGAGAAGACAAAAAGAGGGGAAGAUAGUCUCACAUCAACUAGGCGUAUCAACGAGCCAUGGAGAUGCCCAUGAAUAGAUAUCAAUGUGAGUGAGUAGGGAUUGCCAUGCAACGGAUGCACUAGAGCUAUAAGUAUAUGAAAUCUCAACAAAAGAAACUAAGUGGGUGUGCAUCCAACUCGCUUGCUCACGAAGACCUAGGGCAUUUUGAGGAAGCCCAUCAUUGGAAUAUACAAGCCAAGUUCUAUAAUGAAAAAUUCCCACUAGUAUAUGAAAGUGACAGAAUGAGAGAGUCUCUAUCAUGAAGAUCAUGGUGCUACUUUGAAGCACAAGUGUGGUAAAAGGAUAGUAACAUUGUCCCUUCUCUCUUUUUCUCUCACUUUUUAUUUUCUUUAUUUGGGCCUUUUUAUGGCCUCUUUUUUUCUCUUUUUUUAUUUGGUAUUCUUUGGCCUCUUUUAUUUAUUUUCGUUCGGAGUCUCAUCCCGACUUGUGGGGGAAUCAUAGUAUCCAUCAUCCUUUCCUCACUGGGAAAUGCUCUAAUAAUUAUGAUCAUCACACUUCUAUUUACUUACAACUCGAUACUUAGAACAAGAUAUGACUCUAUAUGAAUGCCUCCGGCGGUGUACCGGGAUGUGUAAUGACUCAUGAGUGACAUGUAUGGAAUAUGAAUGGUGCCUUUGCCACAAAUACGAUGUCAACUACGUGAUCAUGCAAAGCAAUAUGACAAUGAUGAAGCGUGUCAUAAUAACGGAACGGUGGAAAGUUGCAUGGCAAUAUAUCUCGGAAUGGCUAUGGAAAUGCCAUAAUAGGUAGGUAUGGUGGCUGUUUUGAGGAAGGUAUAUGGUGGGUUUAUGGUAACGGCGAAAGUUGCACGGUACUAGAGAGGCUAGCAAUGGUGGAGGGGUGAGAGUGCACAUAAUCCAUGGACUCAACAUUAGUCAUAAAGAACUCACAUACUUAUUGCAAAAAUCUAUUAGUUAUCGAAACAAAGUACUACGCACAUGCUCCUAGGGGGAUAUAUUGGUAGGAAAAGACCAUCGCUCGUCCCCGACCGCCACUCAUAAGGAAGACAAUCAAUAAAUAAAUCACGCGCCGACUUCGUCACAUAACGGUUCACCAUACGUGCAUGCUACGGGAAUCACAAACUUCAACACAAGUAUUUCUCAAAUUCAUAACCACUCAACUAGCAUGACUCUAAUAUUAUUACCUCCAUAUCUCAAAACAAUCAUCAAGCAUCAAACUUCUCUUUGUAUUCAAAACACUCAUAAGAGAAUUUUAUUAAUCUUGAAUACCUAGCAUAUUAGGAUUUUAAGCAAAUUACCAUGCUAUUAAGACUCUCAAAAUAAUCUAAGUGAAGAAUGAGAGUUCAUUAAUUCCUAUAAAAUAAAACCACCAUCGUGCUCUAAAAAGAUAUAAGUGAAGCACUAGAGCAAACGACAAACUAGUCCGAAAGAUAUAAGUGAAGAUCAAUGAGCAGUUAAAUAAUUAUUUCGCUAUGUGAAGACUCUCUAAAAUUUAAUAAUUUCAGAUCUUGGUAUUUUAUUCAAACAGCAAGGAAAACAAAAUAAAAUGACAUCUAAGAAUAGCAAACAUCAAGUGAAGAAGCAGAAACUUAGGAUCAACCGAUACUAACCGAUAGUUGUUGAAGAAAAAAGGUGGGAUGCCAACCGGGGAAUCCCCAAGCUUAGACGCUUGAGAACUCUUGAAAUAUUAUCUUGGGGUGCCUUGGGCAUCCCCAAGCUUGAGCUUUUGUGUCUCCUUAAUUCCUCUCAUAUCACGGUCUCCCUAAAUCUCAAAAGCUUCAUCCACACAAAACUCAACAAGGACUCGUGAGAUAAGUUAGUAUAAACCAUUGCCAAAACCUUAUCAUAAUCUACUGUAGCAAAUCACUAAAAUUAUUAUUCAACAUUGCAUACUAAAUGCCUCUGCGUAUUUAAUAGUCCUAUCCUCAAAUAGAAUCAUUAAAGAAGCAAACAUAUGCAAACAAUGCAAACAUAACAGCAAUCUGCCUAAACAGGAUAGUCUGUAAAGAAUGCUGCAACAUCCAUACUUCCCUAGCUCCAAAAAUUAUGAAAGAAAAUUCCCACUGUAGUAAAUUUAUCAGAUCUUAAUAUGCAAAAGGUUUCAACAUUUUAUCACAUUCUUACUUUUCUAGGGAAUUAUUGCAACAGCGGUAAACUUUCUGUUUUCAAACAGCAACAUGUAUACUUGUAACAUAGGCAUAGUAAAGGCUAUCAAUGCCACUUUUAUUGAAAUAAAAGAUGAAAAAAAUUGUUCUAAAUAAAAGCAAGAAAAUCCUAACAAAAUAAAUUGAUGCUCCAAGCAAAACACACAUUAUGUGGUGAAUAAAAAUAUAGCUCUAAGUAAAGUUACCGAUGAAUGAAGUCAAAAGAGGGGAUGCCUUCCGGGGCAUCCCCAAGCUUAGGCUCUUGGUUGUCCUUGAAUAUUACCAUCAGGUGCCUUGGGAAUCCCCAAGCUUAGGCUCUUACCACUCCUUGUUCCAUAGUCCAUCGAAUCUUUACCCAAAACUUGAAAACUUCACAACACAAAACUUAAAUUAGAAAAUCUCGUGAGCUCCGUUAGCGAAAGAAAACCAAAGACCACUUCAAGGUACUGUAAUGAAUUCAUUAUUUAUUUAUAUGGGUGUUAUACCUACUGUAUUCCAACUUCUCUAUAGUUUAUGAACUAUUUUACUAGCCAUAGAUUCAUCAAAAUAAGUAAACAACACACGAAAAACAGAAUCUGUCAAAAACAGAAUAGUCUGUAGUAAUCUGUAGCUAGCGCAAGAUCUGGAACCCCAAAAAUUCUAAAAUAAAUUUAUGGACGUGAGGAAUUUCUCUAUUAAUCAUAUGUAAAAAUAAAUAACUAAAUAUCACUCUCCAAAUAAAAACUACAUCAGUUCUCGUAAGCGCUAAAGUUUCUGUUUUUUAUAGCAAGUUCAACAAGACUUUCCCCAAGUCUUCCCAACGGUUCUACUUGGCACAAACACUAAUUAAACACAAAAAACACAACCAAAACAGAGGCUAAAUAAUUUAUUUAUUACUAAACAGGAGCAAAAAGCAAGGAAUGAAAAUAAAGUUGGGUUGCCUCCCAACAAGCGCCAUCGUUUAACGCCCCUAGCUAGGCAUAACAAGCAAGAAUAGAUCUAGGUAUUGCCAUCUUUGGUAGGCAAUCCAUAAGUGUCUCUCAUGAUAGAUUCAUAGGGUAAUUUUAUUUUCUGUUUAGGGAAGUGUUCCAUGCCCUUUUUUAAUGGAAAUUGGAAUCUAAUAUCCCCUUCCUUCAUAUCAAUAAUUGCACCAACUGUUAUAAGGAAAGGUCUACCGAGAAUAAUAGGGCAAGAAGGAUUGCAAUCUAUAUCAAGAACAAUAAAAUCUACGGGCACAUAAUUCCUAUUUGCAACAAUAAGAACAUCAUUAAUUCUUCCCAUAGGUUUCUUAAUAGCGGAGUCCGCAAGAUGCAAGUUUAGAGAGCAAUCAUCAAAAUUACGGAAAUAUAGCAAAUCACACAAAGUUUUGGGAAUAGUAGAGACACUAGCACCCAAAUCACACAAAGCAUAAAACUCAUGAUCUUUAAUUUUAUUUUUAAUAGUUGGUUCCCACUCAUCAUAAGGUUUUCUAGGGAUAGAAACUUCCAAUUCAAGUUUUUCUUCAUAAGAUUGCAUGAAGGCAUCAACAAUAUGUUUAGUAAACGCUUUAUUUUGACUAUAAGCAUGAGGAGAAUUUAGCACGGAUUGCAACAAGGAAAUACAAUCAAUCAAAGAGCAAUUUUCAUAGUUAAAUUCCUUGAAAUCCAUAAUAGUGGGUUUAGCAACAUCUAGGGUUUUAAUUUCUUCAAUCCCACUUUUAUCAAAUUUAGCAUCAAGAUCUAAAUACUCCGAAUUUUUAGAACGCCUUCUAGGUAAAGAUGGAUUAUAUUCAGUCCCAUCAUUAUCAAGAUUCAUAUUGCAAAACAAAGAUUUAAUAGGGGACACAUCAAUAACUUUUAGAUCUUCAUCAUUAUUUUCAUAGGAAUCCGAUUUAGCGGCCAUCUUAUUGACUAAGGUAGCUUGCAUAUCCGAAAUUUCAGCAGUUAAUUUUUCAAGACGAGCAAUUUGGGAUCUUAUACCAUCAAAUUCUUUAGACAUAUCAUCGAGCUCUUUAUUCAUAUAACUCAUAAAACCUUUUUGUUCCUUAAACUCGUAAACCAUAAAUUUCCUGACGUUGUUUUCGAACUCCUCUAACCUUUUAAGAUGAAGAUCACCGAAUCUAGGAAGAGCCAUCGUGACAAACAAGCAAUCCAACACACGAGCAAACAAAAAGCAAACAGGCAAAAAGAGGCAAAUAGAGAGGGAGGAUAGAGAGAUAGGGCGAAUAAAACGACAAGGGUGAAGUGGGGGAGAGGAAAACGAGAGGCAAAUGGCAAAUAAUGUAAUACUGGAGAUAGGGAUUGUGAUGGGUACUUGGUAUGUUGACUUUUGCGCAGACUCCCCGGCAACGACACCAGAAAAGAGCUUGAUGUCUACUACACAACCUUCUUCUUGUAGAGGUUGUUGGGCCUCCAAGUGCAGAGGUUUGUAGGAUAGUAGCAAAUUUCCCUCAAGUGGAUGACCUAAGGUUUAUCAAUCUGUAGGAGGCAUAGGAUGAAGAUGGUCUCUCUCAAGCAACCCUGCAACCAAAUAAUAAAGAGUCUCUUGUAUCCCCAACACACCCAAUACAAUGGUAAAUUGUAUAGGUGCACUAGUUCGGCGAAGAGAUGGUGAUACAAGUGCAAUAUGGAUAGUAGAUAAUACAUUUUGUAAUCUGAAAAUAUAAAAACAGCAAGGUAACAAAUGAUAAAAGUGAGCGUAAACGGUAUUGCAAUGUGUUGAAACAAGGCCUAGGGUUCAUACUUCCGCUAGUGCAAGUCCUCUCAACAAUAAUAUCAUAAUUGGAUCACAUAACCAUCCCUCAACAUGCAACAAAGAGUCACUCCAAAGUCACUAAUAGCGGAGAACGAACGAAGAGAUUAUGGUAGGGUACGAAACCACCUCAAAGUUAUUCUUUCCAAUCAAUCCGUUGGGCUAUUCCUAUAAGUGUCACAAAUAGCCCUAGAGUUCGUACUAGAAUAACACCUUAAGACACAAAUCAACCAAAACCCUAAUGUCACCUAGAUACUCCAAUGUCACCUCAAGUAUCCGUGGGUAUGAUUAUAUGAUAUGCAUCACACAAUCUCAGAUUCAUCUAUUCAACCAACACAAAGGACCUCAAAGAGUGCCCCAAAGUUCUACCGGAGAAUCACGACGAAAAGGUGUGCCAACCCCUAUGCAUAGAUUCAUGGGCGAAACCCGCAAGUUGAUCACCAAAACAUACAUCAAGUGAAUCACGUGAUAUCCCAUUGUCACCACAGAUACGCACGGCAAGACAUACAUCAAGUGUUCUCAAAUCUUUAAAGACUCAAUCCGAUAAGAUUACUUCAAGGGGAAAACUCAAUCCAUUACAAGAGAGUAGAGGGGGAGGAGAAACAUAAGGUCCAACUAUAAUAGCAAAGCUCGCGAUACAUCAAGAUCGUGCCAAAUCAAGAACACGAGAGAGAGAGAGAGAGAGAGACCACACACAUAGCUACUGGUACAUACCCUCAGCCUCGAGGGAGAACUACUCCCUCCUCAUCAUGGAGAGCACCGGGAUGAUGAAGAUGGCCACCGGAGAGGGAUGCCCCCUCUGGCAGGGUGCCGGAACGGGUCUAGAUUUGCUUUUGUUGGCUACGGAGGCUUCUGGCGGCGGAACUCCUGAUCUAUUGUGCACCCCGAUGCUUUUAGGGUAUGUGGAGAUAUAUAGGCGGAAGAAGUAUGUCAGGGGUGCCACAAGGGGCCCACGAGGGUGGAGGGCGCGCCCAGGGGGGUGGGCGCACCCCCCUACCUCGUGGCCUCCUCAAAGGUUCCCUUACGUGCACUUCAAGUCUUCUGGGCUUCUUUCCUUCCAAAAAUGAGUUCCGUGAAGUUUCAGGUCAAUUGGACUCCGUUUGAUUUUCCUUUUCUUUGAAACCCUAAAAUAGGCAAAAAAACAGAAACUGGCACUGGGCUCUGGGUUAAAAGGUUAGUCCCAAAAAUGAUAUAAAAGUGUAUAAUAAAGCCCAUAAACAUCCAAAACAGUAGAUAAUAUAGCAUGGAGCAAUCAAAAAUUAUAGAUACGUUGGAGACGUAUCAGAGCCUCCAAUUAAUUUGUGGAGAUUACCCCGGGCAAUUUGUAUGGGUUCGAUAACUGCCAUCGAGCGUUUCCAAUUGUACGGGUUUGGUGACUGCCCUCAAGGGUCCCUUAGUGGAGUCACGCCACAUUGCAUUGUGUGAGGGCAUGAGGAGAAUACAGUGAGCCAUUGAGGCGCUUGGGAGCAUUGUGCAUCCACGCCGCUCUAAUGGAGAUUGGCAUCCACAAUGGUAUGAACUUCAGGAUACAUCCUCGUCCCCGCUUGCCUCGAUUAUCUCUUAUACCCGAGCCCUUUACUUAUGCACUUACUUUGAUAGCAUUCAUGAUUCAAGUUAUAUAUCUUCCUAUCACAUAGUUGUUUAUCUUGUUUACCAUAAGUUGUUGGUGCACAUAGUUGAGCCAAGUUUUAUUUAGGUUUUGUGCUUGAUAAAUUAAAUGCUAGUCUUCUUCCGUAUCUGUUCAAGCCUAAACCGUAAUAGUUCUAAAAUGGCUAUUCACCCCUCCCCUCUUGACGACAUCCACGUCCUUUUAGUAAUACGGUAAUUAUGACCGUGUAGCUUCCAUCACUCAAUCUUUCUAGGAGGCACCAUUUAAAAGAAGUAACUUACAUAAUAAGAUAAUGGUAAAAAACAAUAAAUAUAUAGUUAAGUAAGAGAAAAAAGUAAAUCUAUAAAUGUUUCUUUAUUAAAUCAUAUCUGAACACUUGCUUAAUCAUUAUACAUGACAGAAGCACCACGCAUAUCCAAAAAUAGUGCAAGGAUAGAAGAAUAUCUAGCUGGGGAAAACGACAAGGACGAAAAGAAUGAUUGAAUAUUUAUUGCUUCCUUGGUCCAAAGCACAUGUUUUUUUGGCAUUGGUGAUUCUGGAUCGAACUUCUUCCUAGCAUCUCCAACUCAUUAUCUCGACUAGCGACAGCUCCCGCAUCUUAAUCCGCGACUCCAACUCAUUCUACUCAACUACAUACCUAUACUUCCAAUAUGUCCUUACAUGUCUCCUUUUAUUAAUAUUCUAAUUAAAGACUCCCCAUAAAAUUUCUUAGUAAUCAGAGAAAUAAGAAUUAUCUGAGCCAUCAAUUCAAGUUAGAAUAGCAUAGUUGAACUUUAGGGGAAUUGGCUCAACUCACAUUGUAAAAGGAAUGAAAUAAAAACACUAUCCAAUGUUUCUUUAUGAAAAGACUAGUUCCCAUAAAUGCCCAUAACUCCAUAUACCGAUUUCUUCUUUUGGCCAUCUCGUCCAUUUAGUUUAUAUUCUCCCAUGUGUGCGUCCCAACCCAAGGUCUUGAGAGAAAAAAGAAUGCGCAUGACAACUUUUAGGUUGUUGUUUACAUCUUAUUCGUAACAUAUAUAUUCUAGGCUUUUAGUGAAUUCAACAUUCACAUCCAGUAUACAACCAUAUUAUGAAGAGUGGCAGAAUCAAAGUACAUUGGUCUGAACUCCAUGGACAAAUCCUAAGCCAAAGGCCUCGAAAAUCCACUCCCUAACCAUUCCUUUUUAAAGGGUCUCCCGUUCUCAUGCCGCCGCCAUCUGAGAAAUUUAGGUCCCCUUGUCUCUGGCUGCCAUCUUGGCGCUAAGAGGUGGCAGACCUCGGGUCUCCAAGACUUCUAUGUUCUUCGUCAAUGGACGUUUCAUUUUCCUAGAAUGUAUCCUAAUUUUGGCCUAAUUCUUCUUCUGAUGACCGAUUCAACCUAUGAUCAAAAAUAUAGACCUUGGUUCUUUUUAAUCUCUUCAACAAGUUUAGUAAUAAGCAUAACGGCCCUAUUGUUCCAAUGGAGAGAAGAACCUAUAAAUAGCUUUUGGGGAAAUUUCCAAACGAACAAUUUCAACGAAAUCUUUCAAUUUCUAAUUUAAUUAUGUUCAACUUUAUGUAUUCCUCUACCCGUAGAGUACAUUGAAUGUACAUAAAUGGCUAUAACAGGGUUUCUAUUAUUCGUAUUAACAUCUACUCUAGGUGGAACGUUUUUAUGUGGUGCUAACGAUUUAAUAACUAUCUUUGUAGCUCCAGAAUGUUUCAGUUUAUGUUCCUAACUAUUGUGUGGAUAUACCAAGAGAGAUCUAGGUCUAAUGAGGCUACUAUGUAACAUUUACUCAUGGGUGGGGUAGGCUCUUCUAUUCUGGUUCAUGGUUUCUCUUGGCAGUAUGGUUCAUCUGGGGGGGGGAGGUCGAGCUUCCAGAAAUUGUGAAUGGUCUUAUCAAUGCACAAAUGUAUAAUUCCCCCAGGAAUUUCAAUUGCACUUAUAUCCAUCACUGUAGGACUUGGGUUUAAGCUUUCCCCAGCCCCUUUUCAUCAAUGGACUCCUGACGUCUAUGAAGGAGUGUGGUAAGUUCGACAAAUUCCUACCUCUAUAGUGAUCAUCAUAGUUUUGUGAGAAUUAAUUUUCUCUCGUUCUUUUGGCGGUGCCAUGAGAUUAGAGAGUUUUAUGUCCACGUAGAUCCAAUUAUUUGGACCUGAUGUGUUAUGUUGUUGUGUCAACCUUUUUUGUUGGUCUGGUUCUUUGUGAAUGUGAAAUAUUUCAUCGACACCAUGGUGAAGAUAUAGUGAUUUGACGGCUUGCACUUAUAGGGGAUCAUCCCCGGCCCAAGUACGUUCAUCCAUCAAGGCUUACCAUCUUUCUAGAUGGGCUACUCAAGGCAUUUUGAAAAACCAUUAUUGGUAAUGUUCAUGUGGGUGAACGAAUGACAACGUCGUUGCUCCAGUCUAAUUGAAGCCUCUUUACCGAAGUAUUUGGAAUAUUUCUUCGAGAUGAAAUUGAUACCGCGAAGAAGGUGAUUUCAGGAAAUUUCAUUGUAAUUCUUAGUCAUAGAAGUUACUUUGUAUUUUCUUGGAUUUUAGGUCAAAAUUACUUUACCUGUAAUUGUUAUGAGUAUGAAUAAAGUUAUAGGUGUUUCAAGAAAAAAGCCAUUCCUUUGUAUGUGUUUCUCUAAGUCGAUACUUCCAAAGAUUAUCCUCUGGUACUAAUGAGCCACAUGGGGUUAUUCAUUCUCGGGAACAAACCUAGUUUGAACAGUUUGGAGCCGUUUUUUUGUUCCAGGACAACUGUGCCAUUUCACUUUGAAACACACUUAGAUAACUAGAUAUUUCAUUGAUUCAAAAGUGUUGCUAGAAAUUCGCUUGCUAAAUUGAGGCCAUGUUGAAGAAAUUUUUUGGGUGGAGUCAUUCUCGGAACUACCAUUGAACAUUGACCCGUAACUUCCUUUCUCUGGCAACAUGCCAUCCCCAUGGGUCUCCCAUUUCGUUCCUGGCGGCAGCCACAGGGUGGUUGUCGGUGCAAUAAACCCUGAGUUUGUUGACCAACCGUGCACGUGCACAAGAUCAAGACUGAAGCACCAACUUAAAACAGAGAUUGGAAGACCAAGAGAAUUGAAGAACCAACAUGCAGCUCAGGAGAACCAAGACUGGGCCUAGGAAGCAGGAUAUCUACAAGAGAAGGGCCUCCCUUGCUGGGCAGGCAAGCUCGGCAACGGGCUAGGCCACCACCAGAAGCAAAGCAACCAAGGCUCCCCAGCAGAGGCUGCCAGGGCUCGCGGGGGUAGAACCGCCCCACCAACCACUCAAGCAUGACCCACAUCAUCAACCAGUGCGGUGUCAAGCCGCAAGAUGAUUAAGUGGUAGCCAUUCGCCACAUGGCAGCCAUUUCCUAUAUAGAAGCCUAGAGAUGACAUCCGUCCUGCGACGUGUCAAGAGAGAAAGAGCGAAGCUGGCAAGAUAGCCCGGCAGGCCUUGCCGGGCGCCCAGUGAUGUGACACUAAGUGGUGCUUUAAUGCACCCUGUCAACCCACAGAGUUAACUAUGAUAUCACUGUUUGUUAUCAUAUUAGUGGAUAAUGACCAGUUUGCCAUUGUGGUGACCCCUUAGUCUAUAAAAGGAGGCCCAUGACACUCAUAGGGGGGGGGUUAGAAGGUUGGAAAAUUAACAACCCCAAGCCACCACAUACACGUAGUAGCCGCAGGCAAACCUUGCCGGGAAAGUGUACUACGCACCACCACAUCCAUUCUUCCAUCAAUCCACUAAAGCAGGAGUAGGGUCUUAUGCCUCGCGGCGACCCGAACCUGGGUAAAUCAAUAGUGUGCUCUCUGCCGCGCGGUCGUAAGCUGGUAUGCUCUUUGUGCAACAUGCCGUCCCCCUGUCGAACCAGCAAGGGGCCACCCGGUCCUAUAGGUCGCCACAGAAAUCCCGCGACAUCUUUGGCACGCCAGGUAGAGGGAGCACUUGCGUGAACCUGAAAGUGCAUGUUGCGCGUCAUCUUCAUCGCAAUCUUCAUCUUCGAUAGCGCCAUCGACCAUGGCGCCCAAGAAGAAAUCUAGCACUUCAGCCCAUCCUUCCACCUCAAUGGCUUCCCCACCCGUGGCCUCCAACGUUGCGGGGAGCACGGCAUCUCGCGAGGACGUGGAUGCCGCUGGGGGCGCGGUUGGAGUGGGUGGCACCGUUACCGCCGCACCCACGGCCGAACGGGAGCCAUAGCUAUCGGAGGAGAACAACAUCAGUAGCGUCUCGGCGGUCAAGCUCCGCAUGGUACGGGCGAGGGGGUCACUCCAUCCGUGCCCCCUCCUCUAGUCGACGAGCACAACUGCGGCAACGGUGCUUGGUCCGGGGUGAACCAUCGCCCUCCAGUCGCCCCCAUCAUGGGAGCGGCUACGACACACGCGCCUCCUCCUGGACGAGACAACCAGGCUGCUGCGCUCAACAGAGCUGCUGAUCUUCGAGCACCACCGCUGCUGCCCCGGUGGUCCCCCCACUGCAGCGUGGGCGCGACGCCGACGCCGUCACCGCUGGCACCACCCGAAGCCAGGCGACGGUGCGGUCGACGUCAUCGACAUCCAUGCCAAGCACGGCCACGAAGGCCAUGGCGCGAGCGCAGUUAUUACUGAGGUUCCCGCCAGCAGCCGAGCAGAUGGAUGAGUGGCACGCCACCAUCCAAAGCCUGAUCGGUUUUGCCGAAGUUGGGGCCUCUAGAUGAGCUAGCCCACUGCAACCUCCCCAAGCAACAGCCAUCGCCCGCGCCGGUAGCUGUACGAAGGGGGCCAUCCCUACGGUUCAGUCCCCGCCAUAGCAGUCGGCGAGGACGCGGCAGAAUCAAGACACCGACGACGUCUCUAUGGCUUCUUCUAACCCUCGAGCAUGUCCAGGCCAACGUCGAACCCCAGAAGACAGGCAACGGGAGGAUGUGCGCACCAUCGUCGAGCGGCGCCGCAACGAACCCCGCCAGGCCGACAGGUGCAACGGUCUCAACAUCGACGAGCCUGCACUCGGUGUUGGCGGGUGCCUACCCUUCGAGGUUGGCUGCCCUGCCUUUACACGAGAGCUGCGGCAAGUCCGUUGGUCGCCUGUUCACACGUUCAAGCCAGAGAUACCUGAGAGCUACGACGGGAGGCUGAACUCGGCAGAGUUCCUGAGCAUCUACACCAUCGAUGUUCAGGCUGCUGGUGGAAGAGAUGAGAAGGUGUUCGCCAACUACUUCCCUUUGGCCCUCAAUUCCAAUGUGAGGUCUUGGCUGAUGCACCUACCGGAGAACUCCAUUUCAUCAUGGGCAGACCUGUGCCACUAGUUCAUCGGUGCCUUCACCGGUGGCCACCAAGAGCCCAGCAGACCCAGCGACCUGCAGCUUCUCCAGCAGAAGGAAGGAUUAAUCCUCCAUAAGUAUUUAUAGAGAUUCAGUAGAGUUCAUAGAAAUAUUCCAAAUAUCCAUCCGACAGCUGUUAUAGCAACUUUCCAGUCUAAUGUGCGCAACCGCCGCAUCGUUCCAAAAUGAACGUGCGGUUGCCCAAGACUAUAAAAGAACUAUAUACACUAGUGGAUAAAUGUGCCCGGAUGGAAGAAGGAAGGAAGCUGCCCGGAGAGGAAGAUUGCAUUAAUGUUGAUUCAGAGGAUGAGGAUGAAUCAAUGCUACCUCUUGAGCAUGCGUUGGUUUUCCCUUAGAGAGGAAAGGGUGAUGCAGCAAAGCAGCGUAAAUAUUUCCCUCGGUUUUUGAGAACCAAGGUAUCAAUCCAGUAGGAGACCAUGCGCGAGUCACCUCGUACCUACACAAACACAUCAAAACCUCGCAACCAACACCUUAAAUGGGUUGUCAAUCCCUUCACGGUCACUUGCAAGAGUGAGAUCUGAUAGAGAUAAUAAUAAUAAGAUAAAUAUUUUUGGUAUUUUAUGAUAUAAAAUGAAAGUAAAGAUUACAAAAUAAAAUAGAUUGGAAACUUGUAUGUAGGAAAAUAGACCCGGGGGCCAUAGGUUUCACUAGUGGCUUCUCUCAAGAUAGCAUAAGUAUUACGGUGGGUGAACAAAUUACUGUCGUGCAAUUGAAAGAAUUGAGCAUAGUUAUGAGAAUAUCUAGGUAUGAUCAUCUACAUAUGUAGGAAAUAUGCCCUAGAGGCAAUAAUAAAGUUAUUAUUUAUUUCCUUAUUUCAUGAUAAAUGUUUAUUAUUCAUGCUAGAAUUGUAUUAACCGGAAACAUGAUACAUGUGUGAAUACAUAGACAAACAGAGUGUCACUAGUAUGCCUCUACUUGACUAGCUCGUUGAUCAAAGAUGGUUAUGUUUCCUAGCCAUAGACAAAGAGUUGUCAUUUGAUUAACGGGAUCACAUCAUUAGGAGAAUGAUGUGAUUGACUUGACCCAUUCCGUUAGCUUAGCACUUGAUCGUUUAGUUUGUUGCUAUUGCUUUCUUCAUGACUUAUACAUGUUCCUAUGACUAUGAGAUUAUGCAACUCCCGUUUACCGGAGGAACACUUCACUACAAGAAAUAUGUAAAGUAGUGACCUUCUAUCAGUGACCCUGGAAGAAUUGGUCAUGGAUAUAUGACCAUUUCAGACUAAUUGGUCAAAAGCUAUUCGGGGGGCUGCAAACCCUAAACUAUAAUGACCAUUUUGGUUAGAAAGGUCAUAAUUUCCUUACAUGAAAUGGUCAUAAAGCAGAUAGCACUGGUCCGCUGCCUUAUUUCUAGCUGAUCACGACCAAUAUAGAUGGUCAUAACCUUAUAAAUUGUGGUGGGUUGCUAUGACUAGGCGCCACCUCAUCAGUUUUCCCUAUGUGUCAUGUCCAUGUGGCAAUUUUUGCCCCAGGUUGUGAAGCAACCUAUAUUUCUGUCAUUCCCAAAAUUCCCAAAAAAUCUCAUAAAUCCUUUGGGUCAUAUCUUCGUCAAAUAUGUAAAAAACCUUCCUUGCCUAUUCAAAAAUAAUUCAACAAUAUUCAUUUUCCUAUUUUUUUAGAACAACACUUUGUGAAGGAAGUACCACUUUGGCAUGUCCAAAUAGUAUCCAUUUUCUACGGUGCUUUCCUAUGCCCAAAUAACCAUCCUCCACCAAAUGCCAUCUCAAUCCAUUCAUUAAUUUGAGCCCAGAUUCAACAAUCGUAUUUAUGUCCAGCGAGGUACUUUGCAAAGCAAGUACCACCUAGGCUCCUCCUUUUGAGCUGAAAAAUUGUGAAGAUGGUCUUCUUAGUAACUGAUCAUCCUCAGCCAAAACUCACGCCCAUUAGCCAUGUACAUUUCUUGUACCGUUAAUCAAACACUUGGCUGCUAAUUCAUGUUUAAGCAUCGAUCGGUCUCCUCGUGAGAAUCUUAUGUUGUAAUUUUCUUCCUAGCACCUACCCGGGGAGUGCCCAGCCCACUAGACAUGCCUAGGCCAUCCAGAACACAUGGCAACGCCUCGGUCACGCGGUGACCACGCGACGGGCAUGCGAGUUUACGCGCUCUAGAGUUGGGGCCCUCGGACACCACCGAAACCUCGAUGUAUCGCCACCAAACCAUGUAUUUAUGAUUAAAUAGGUCCUUAUGUAACUAGAAAUGAAUUUUGGAAAAAAUAAAUAGCAAACUAUGAGGCAGCUGCAGUUCAAAUUUGACCCGCUUCCAACUGAAUCGACGGAAAUUUGUCUCUUUCACGAGAGGUGGAUCAAAAUUUUUUACACCCAACCAUUUUGUCAAUUUUGCAUUAAAUAUGUCAUAGUAUUUUAGAAAAUUGAUUUGGUCCAAUUUUGCAACAAUUAUUUGGGAGGUCCUUCACAAAAAAACCUCCUUUUGGGCACUUGAAAAAUGGAAAAUGGUUUUUUCAUCCAAAGAAAAUGAAAACUUCCUUAGGCAACAUUGUUUGCCAUUCCAAUAUGCACCCUUGUGUACAAUACGAGAUCAUUUGAACAACUAUGCCAUGAAUGUGGCCUUAAGAUUGAUCAUUUGGCUUGAAAGCCAUUGAUCUCCACACGUGAUAGCUCGUUUCCGAGAACAUUUUUUAAAAAUAAUUACCGUAUUACAAGUUUGUUAUUUUUCCUGGUAACUUGGCCACAUAUAAUGACACAGUGCGAAGGUUUCCCAAUUAUUUGAUUUAUUUGAAUUUUUUAUGCCCGUUUCAAAAUGCGGUCAAAACAGCGUGAAUGACCGUUCCUAGCUAGUGGUUGAACCUUGGAUUUUUUUGGUGUUUCUCUGAUUAAAUAGAUACUUAUGUACCUAGAAAUGAUUUUUGGAAAAAAUAAAGAGCAAACUACAAGGCAGUUACAGUUCAAAUUUGACCCGCUUCUAGCUGAAUCGGUGGAAAUUUGUCUUUUUCACGAGAAGUGGAACAAAACAUUUUACACCCAACCAUUUGGUCAAUUGUGCAUUAAAUAUGGCCUAGUAUUUUAGAAAAAUGAUUUUGUCCAAUUUUGCAACAAUUAUUUGGGAGGUCCUUCACAAAAAAACCUCCUUUUGGGCACUCAAAAAUGGAAAAUGGUUUUUUCAUCCAAAGAAAAUGAAAACUUCCUUAGGCAACAUUGUUUGCCAUUCCAAUAUUCACCCUUGUGCACAAUAUGAGAUCAUUUGAACAAACUAUGCCAUGAAUGUGGCCAUAAGAUUGAUCAUUUGGCUUAAAGCCGUUGAUCUCCACACGUGAUAGCUCGUUUCUGAGAACAUUUUUUGAAAAUAAAUGAUGUAUCACAAGUUUGUUAUUUUUCCUGGUAACUUGGCCACAUAUAAUGACACAAGGCGAAGGUUUCCUAAUUAUUUGAUUUUUUUGAAUUUUUUAUGCCCGUUUCAAAAUGCGGUCAAAAAGGCGGGAAUGACUGUUCCUAAAUAGUGGUUGAUUCUUGGAUUUUUUUGGUGUUUCUAUAAUUAAAUAGAUACUUAUGUACCUAGAAAUGAUUUUUGGAGAAAACAAAGAGCAAACUACAAGGCAGCUACAGUUCAAAUUUGACCCGCUUCCAGCUGAAUCGGUGGAAAUUUGUCUUUUUCACGAGAGGUGGAUCAAAACUGUUUACACCCAACCAUUUGGUGAAUUGUGCUUUAAAUAUGGCCUAGUAUUUUAGAAAAAUGAUUUGGUCCAAUUUUGCAACAAUUAUUUGGGAGGCCCUUCACAAAAAACCUCCUUUUGGGCACUCAAAAAAUGGAAAAUGGUUUUUUCGUCCAAAGAAAAUGAAAACUUCCUAAGGCAACAUUGUUUGCCAUUCCAAUAUGCACCCUUGUGCACAAUAUGAGAUCAUUUGAACAAACUAUGACAUGAAUGUGGCCAUAAGAUUGAUCAUUUGGCUUGAAAGUCAUGAAUCUUCACGCAUGAUAGCUCAUUUCUGAGAACACUUUUUAAAAAUAAUUGUCGUAUUACAAGUUUAUUAUUUUUCCUGGAAACUUGGUCACAUAUAAUGACACAGUGCGGAGGUUUUCCAAAUUUUUGAUUUUUUCUGAAUUUUUUAUGCCCGUUUCAAAAUGCGGUCAAAAUGGUGAGCAAAAAUAUAGAGCAAAAUAUGAGGCAGCUACAGUUCAAAUUUGACCCAUUUCCAGUUGAAUCGGCGGGAAUUUGUCAUUUUCACGAGAGGUGGAUCAAGGCUUUUGAGACCCAACCAUUUUUUUGAUUGUGUAUUAAAUGUGGCCUAGUAUUUUAGAAAAUUGAUUUGGUCCAAUUUUGCAAAAAAUAUAUGAUAGGUCCUUCAAAAAAAACUCAUUUCGGGCACUCAAAAAAUGGAAAAUAAAUUUUCCUUGCAAAGUAAAUGAAAACUCCUUUCUGAUGCGGCCGAAACACAGGCUACCUCCUCUUUUAGUGUUGAAUGUUAUCCGAAAUAAGAGGUUAAAAAAAAGAGAAACAAAAGGAAAAAACAAUACUACAUAAGCUUAAUUCUGAUUGGUGCAACCAGUCAUGGCAUGGAUUGAUGACAUGGCAAACAUCUGUCCAUCCAUACAUCAUCCAUCCGUCCAUCGGUCCAUCCAACCAACCGCAGCAACCCCCCCCUCUCUCUCGCGAACCCCACCCAACCCGUCGUGCCCUCCUCUCUCUCUCUCUCUCUCUCUCUCGAACCGAACCCUAGCACUCCACCACUCCCUUGCUUCCGCCACCUCCGGCGACCUCAGGCGUGAAUCGACGACCAGCGAGAUCCGGCACGCGCGCGGCGAUGACAUGGCAUGGAUCCCCACGACUCCGCCUCCUCCUCCUCUCUGGAUCGAUCCCCUCCAACCAAGCCGCUGCCGCAGACCUCCCCAACCCCAGCCUCCUCCACUGCCGGCAACCCCUUCUCUUUCUCCCUCCCUCCACCUCCAGCAGUAGAUCCAUGCAUGACAGAUCUGAGCUCCACUUCCUCCGUUGCUCCCUUUCCCCCGACCAGAUCUGCCUCUUGCGUUCUGGCACCUCACCGGCGUGGCUCCACCGUUGCUCCGGCGACUCAGGUGAGUCCCUCCAUUUGUCCUCGUCACAUCGCUCCCUCUCUUCCUCACCUUAUCUUGUGUCCCUUGAAGAUCCAACACGCUGUCGUUGCUUGAGCACCGGGAUGCCAUCGAUGGGACGUCUUCCUCCUCCCCUGUCCCGCAGGCAUGAACGAUGCAACUUCACUGCUACCCUGACGCCAUCAAGGUGAGACCCCCAAUCAUCUCCUCCCCCUUUUCAUUUUCUUGUUCCAAAGCCCUAAGCAAUUGUUGGCAAGACGGAGACGAUGGCAGUGGUUCGAUGCGCGGCGAGGAGGCUCGGUGGCUCCCUGCUCCAGCGAGCGCAGGCGGAGGAGCAAUGUCGGCUCGUGCCAAGUAGGCUCAUGCGCUCCCGCCACCUCUCCACCAAGGUAUCUUAACAAAAAUCAGGACGACAUUUCACAAAUCAUCUCACAAUUGUAGCCAGCGAUGAUCGAAUUCUGUGCAACCAAAACAGUAGCAUGCAUGUGUCUCUAUCUUCUUGUAUUAGCUACUGUACUAACUAGUAGAAGAAAUAAGAGCAAAAUCACUCGCUUAUCUUCUUGUAUUAUCCUGACCUCAACCUACUACCACUUGCAAAUCAUAUUAUCCUGGCUGAUCUAAGCAUCAUGAAUUUUUUGCUCAUCCCCUUAUCAAUUUAUUAACUGCAACAUGUACUUCUGCUUCCUGCACUUGCUAGUAUUAUUUACUCCCUCUGCCGCACCGUGAUGUUUGUGUCAAAAACGCAGAUCGAGUUUCUGUUACUCGUUCGCUACACAUGCAUGCUGCUUUGCUUUCUGCACACAUCCAACCUCGCUUAACUGGCCGGCACGAUAGUAUCCAUCCUUCUUAAUUAUUAUUCUUUACCAAUCACAAUCGCACUUACUCUUAAUGAUUUAUGAUAUUACAAAGUAAUAGCAUUGAUUGAUUAUUAUCUGUGUUCAUGAAUCUAGGAAGCAAAAGAGAUCCAGCAGAAGAAGGAGGCGCUGUAUCUCCAGAACAGAGUUCUUUGAGAAAUCAAGCCUACUUUUGUUCUAUUAAUCAACUCCUAACAUAUUGGUUGUUUCCUCAAGAACAGAGGAAAACGUGAAAGAAUAUUAGUUGUAUCAGAAUAACAUGUGAAUUGCUAUUAGUUGUAUCAGAAUAGCAUGUGAACUAUUCUUAGUUGCUUCAGAAUAGCAUGUGAAGUAUUCUUAGUUGUUCCAAAAUAGCAUGUGAAGUAUUCUUAGUUGUUCCAGAAUAGCAUGUGAAGUACAUCUGCAUUUGUAUCUUGGCCUAGGGUCAGCUGAAUGCUCAAGACAUGGGUAGUUCUGGGAGAUGGUGAUUAGGGACUGUUUUACAACACAUCAUCCUCUGUUUUUACAUGUAGUUGUAGAAGAAAAUACUUUUAAUUAUUGCAAGUCGCGACUGUCAUGCUUAUGUUAUCCUGAUGGAACCUACAUGUCGUUACUACAACAGCUAGAAGCAAUCCGUUUUUAUUAAAAGCAUUCUGGUUAGAAUUUGGUCAUGGCAUCACCUUGCUAUUCUGUUUGUUUUAAAUCUGGUUGCAACUCUAUUUUUCCAUAACCAUUAUAUUACAUUUUUGGCAUUGAGCAUUGGUGGAUCUCAACAGCUAUAUGAUGAAUACACAUCAUGAUAUAUACAUGAUGAAUCUACUUGCUACAUCUCAACUUGUGUAUCUGUUUUGGUAUCUCUUCCACUUUGUAUCUGUUUUCUUGUAUGAGUGGGUAUCUCAUUUUAACUAGUUGGAAAACAAAAAUCAUGGUACUAGCUAGCUCAAUUUGUGUUGUCAUUCUAAAUAAAAGUCAUUUUCUUGAAUGGUCUGUUCAUAAUAUAUUUGCCUCAGUUUUUCUCAUUCUUCUCUCAUUCAUGUAACAGGGUGACAGAGGAAGCCAUGUUGCCAUUUUGUUUGUUCCCAGCCUUGACUAUGGUUGUCCAGCGAGUCCGGCAUGUCAUCAUUUUCUUGUAAAGCAGUAUUGUAUCACACUUGUAGAGCUCAUUACACAUGUAGAUCUUGUGAAGUAAUGUAUUACACAUGGUCAUAUGUAUUGGCAAUGUGAUCUGGUUGCUCUUAUUUGAAGUGUCAUGUGUGCUUUUGUCUGCCAAGUUAAAUACUAAUUGAAAUAUGAAGAAUAUGAGCCUGAUAGAUGGGACUCACUUACCAGACCCAAAACUGACAACUGGCACCCAUCUGACUGGUGGACCCAUUUAAUAAGAAAAGGAAAUUAAAAUUAUUUAGACAAAAAGUCCAAGGCCCAAUAAUAAAAAAGGCUGCAAUGUUGGGCCAGGGCCAUGAAGUCGACCAAAAAUUGACAGAAAAAUAUAUAGAAAGGCUGAAUUAAUUGGCUAGGCCCAUGUAGAAAACCGAAUUGGGCCAGGCUGAUUCUUGUGCCACAUCAGCUUGCCAUGUUGGAUGCCUACGUGUCCUGGCGAGGUUGCUAGUGACCAAAAUUUUGGUUGAAUAACCAACGACCUUUUACAGAAGGUCAUUAAUUUCAGUUUACGACUACCAACUUUUAACCUUCUGUUUUUGGUCAAAAAAGGUCACAAAUGAAAAACUAUGACCUUUCAAUGGCCAAUAGUGAGGGUCACAAGUUGACAUAUUUCUUGUAGUGUGUGUGCUAUCAAACGUCACAACGUAACUGGGUGAUUAUAAAGGUGCUCUACAGGUGUCUCCAAAGGUACUUGUUGGGUUGGCGUAUUUCAAGAUUAGGAUUUGUCACUCCGAUUGUCGCAGAGGUAUCUCUGGGCCCAAUCGAUAAUACACAUCACUUAAGCCUUGCAAGCAUUGCAACUAAUGAGUUAGUUGCGGGAUGAUGUAUUACGGAACGAGUAAAGGGACUUGCCGGUAACAAGAUUGAACUAGCUAUCGAGAUACCGACGAUUGAAUCUCGGGCAAGUAAAAUACCGAUGACAAAGGGAACAACGUAUGUUGUUAUGCGGUUUAACCGAUAAAGAUCUUCGUAGAAUAUGUAGGAGCCAAUAUGAGCAUCCAGGUUCCGCUAUUGGUUAUUGACCGGAGACGUGUCUCGGUCAUGUCCACAUAGUUCUCGAACCCGUAGGGUCCGCACGCUUAAAGUUUGAUGACAGUUAUAUUAUGAGUUUAUAUGUUUUGAUGUACCGAAGGUAGUUCGGAGUCCCCGAUGUGAUCACGGACAUGACGAGGAGUCUCGAAAUGGUCGAGACAUAAAGAUUGAUAUAUUGGACGACUAUAUUUGGACACCGGAAUGGUUCCGGGGGUUAUCGGAUAUAUACCGGAGUAUCGGGGGGUUACCGGAACCCCCUGGAGGUUAUUGGGCCUCAUGGGCCCAAUUGGUGGAAGAGGAGAGGCGGCCAAGGGGCAGCCGUGCGCCCUCCCCUCCCAAGUCCAAAUUGGACAAGGAAGGAGGGCGGCGCCCCCCUUUCCUUUCUUCCUCUUUCUCCUUCCCUCUCCUCUCCUACUCCAACAUGGAAGGGAGGAGUCCUACUCCCGGUGGGAGUAGGACUCCUCAUGGGGCGCGCCAAGGGUGGCCGGCCCCCUUCCCCUCCUCCACUCCUUUAUAUACGGGGAGGGAGGCACCCCCUAGAGACACAACAAUUGAUCCCUUGGAUCUCUUAGCCGUGUGCGGUGCCCCCUCCACCAUAAUCCACCUCGAUCAUAUCGUAGCAGUGCUUAGCCGAAGCCCUGCGUCGGUAGAACAUUAUCAUCGUCACCACUUCAUCGUGCUGACGGAACUCUCCCUUGAAGCUCGGCUAGAUCGGAGUUCGAGGGACGUCAUCGAGUUGAACGUGUGCAGAACUCGGAGGUGCCGUGCGUUUGGUACUUGAUCGGUCGGAUCGUGAAGACGUACGACUACAUCAACCGUGUUGUGCUAAUGCUUCCGCUUUCGGUCUACGAGGGUAUGUGGACACACUCUCCCCUCUCGUUGCUAUGCAUCACCAUGAUCUUGCAUGUGUGUAGGAUUUUUUUUUGAAUUACUACGUUCCCCAACAAUAUAGGCAUCACGUCCGUGACAAGUAGACCGACUCCUGCCUGCAUGUACUACUAUUACUCCACACAUCGACCGCUAUCCAGCAUGCAUCUAGAGUAUUAAGUUCAUAAGAAUGGAGUAACGCUUUAAGCAAGAUGAUAUGAUGUAGAGGGAUAAACUCAUGCAAUAUGAUAUAAACCCCAUCUUUUUAUCCUCGAUGGCAACAAUACAAUACGUGUCGUUUCCCCUACUGUCACUGGGAUCAAGCACCCCAAGAUUGAACCCACAGCUAAGCACUUCUCCCAUUGCAAGAAAGAUCAAUCUAGUAGGCCAAAUCAAACUGAUAAUUCGAGGAGACUUGCAAAGAUAACCAAUCAUGCAUAAAAGAAUUCAGAGAAGAUUCAAAUAUUGUUCAUAGAUAAUCUUGAUCAUAAACCCACAAUUCAUCGGAUCUCGACAAACACACCGCAAAAAGAGUUACAUCGAAUAGAUCUCCAAGAAGAUCGAGGAGAACUUUGUAUUGAGAUCCAAAGAGAGAGAAGAAGCCAUCUAGCUACUAGCUAUGGACCCGAAGGUCUGAGGUAAACUACUCACACAUCAUCGGAGAGGCUAUGGUGUUGAUGUAGAAGCCCUCCAUGAUCAAUGCCCCCUCAAGUGGAGCGCCGGCCCAAGAUGGGAUCUCACGGGUACAGAAGGUUUCGGCGGAGGAAUUAGGUUUUGGUGGUGCUCUCCGAUGUUUUCAGGGUACGUAGGUAUAUAUAGGAGGAAGAAGUAGGUCGGUGGAGCCACGAGGGGCCACAAGGGUGGAGGGCACGCCCAAGGGGGGUAGGCACGCCCCCUUCCUCGUGGCCUCCUCGUUGAUUGCUUGACGUCCACUUCAAGUCCUCUAGAUCACGUUUGUUCCAAAAAUCACGCUGCCGAAGGUUUCAUUCCAUUUGGACUCCGUUUGAUAUUCUUUUUCUGCGAAACACUGAAAUAGGCAAACAACAAUUAGGGCUAGGCCUCUGGUUAAUAGGCUAGUCCCAAAAAUAAUAUAAAAGUGUAUAAAUAAGUCCAUUAAACAUCCAAAACAGAAUAUAUAAUAGCAUGGAACAAUAAAAAAUUAUAGAUACGUUGGAGACGUAUCAAGCAUCCCCAAGCUUAAUUCCUGCUCGUCCUCGAGUAGGUAAAUGAUAAAAACAGAAAUUUGGAUGUGGAAUGCUUCCUAACAUAUUUCUCAAUGUAAUUUUAUUUAUUGUGAUAUGAAUGUUCGGAUCCGAAAGAUUCAAGAUAAAAGUUUAAUAUUGACAUAAAAAUAAUAAUACUUCAAGCAUACUAACUAAGCAAUCAUGUCUUCUCAAAAUAACAUGGCCAAAGAAAGUUAUCCCUACAAAAUUAUAUAGUCUGGCUAUGCUAUAUCUUCAUCACACAAAAUAUUAAAUCAUGCACAACCCCGGUGACAAGCCAAGCAAUUGUUUCAUACUUUUGAUGUGAUGAGGACAUCAAUAGCAUUGUUACACCCACAGCCCCUGUUGUUAUACAUACUAGACCAAUUACUAGAGCUCGCGCACGCCAAUUGAAUUAUCAGGUACUUUCAUUUCUUGGUAACGAUUCUAAUGUUCAUGAGAAUAUGAUGCUGCCUAAAUUGGAUACAUUUGUUUUGCUUACAAAUGAAGGGCCUAGCUUGGACAAGAAAGAUGAACCUUCGAGCAAGUUCAAGCAUGAAGAUGAUGGCAUGCGCAAGGGGAACACGAACAGAGUUACAAGUGAUGAUUCCAGGACUUUGAAGCCACCGUACUGAGUGCAUGAAGCCUUGGAUAAAAUAUACAAGAUGCCACUUCAUAAAUUUCGUCCAGAGGCUAUUCUAGGUGCUGCAUCACCUUAUUUUUGGGCAAGGCCCAUGUAAUUUCGAAAUACUUGAUUAUAGGCAGUUUUUAGAGUCCGUAUGUCUAGGGAAACAAGAGUUAGGGUUGGUUUCGGACCCCUCCUCCAAUGGCCACGAAAUUCCCCCCUCUCUUUUCCAUAUAUACAGCCCUUAGGGCAUCGUUUAGACUUUGGGUUUUGUUUAGAUUAAAAGUUCGCCAUAGCUGCAACUUCGCAUACUUCGUUUGUGUCCAAUGACCAGACCAAGACAUCACAAAACCCUACCUUCAUUAAUAAAGCUUUCCCCUUUUAUUCGCAAUAUCCAGAUUGCAAUCUCAGUUUCUUGCGUGUUCUUCAUUUGCUCGCAGGAAUAGACCCUCGUGGUCAGGUUGAUCGUGCUCCGGCGUGGUCAAUAACCCUCGGAAGUUGGUUUAGAGAUUGCUAAGGCGCGACGUCUUCACACGUUCGUAGUCGGAUCGUCAAAGUCGACUCCCACAGAAAACGAUAUCUAUCCCAUCGAAACAUCGGGACACCUUCGCCUCUAUCAUGAUGUUCUCAAACUUUUUCAACUUUCACGCAAUACAUGAGCGUGAGCCACGAACAUAGCUCUAUAGGUGGAAUAGAAUGGUGGUUGUGGAGAAGACAAAAAGGAGAAUAUAGUCUCACAUCAACUAGGCGUAUCAACGGGCUAUGGAGAUGCCCAUCAAUAGGUAUCAAUGUGAGGGAGUAGGGAUUGCCAUGCAACGGAUGCAUUAGAGCUAUAAGUGUAUGAAAGCUCAACAAAAGAAACUAAGUGGGUGUGCAUCCAACUUGCUUGCUCACGAAGACCUAGGGCAAUUUGAGCAAGCCCAUCAUUGGAAUAUACAAGCCAAGUUCUAUAAUGUAAAAUUCCCACUAGUUUAUGAAAGUGACAACAUAUGAGACUCUCUAUCAUGAAGAUCAUGGUGCUACUUUGAAGCACAAGUGUGGAAAAAGGAUAGUAACAUUGUCCCUUCUCUAUUUUUCUCUUAUUUUUUUUAUUUGGGCCUUCUUAUUUUUGGCCUCUUUUUUUCGUCCGGAGUCUCAUCCCGACUUGUGGGGGAAUCGUAGUCUCCAUCAUCCUUUCCUCACUAGGACAAUCACUAGUAGAAAACAGGGCUAUGGUCCAGGCCGGCUCAGCCCAUUAGUCCCGGUUCAGUGUAGAACCGGGACCAAUGUGGGCAUUGGUCCCGGUUCGUGAGCCCAGGGGGCCGGCCGGGCCACAUGGGCCAUUGGUCCCGGUUCAUCUGGACCUUUUGGUCCCGGUUGGUGGGACGAACCGGGACCAAUGGGCCUCGCUCCUGGCCCACCACCAUUGGUCCCGGUUGGUGGCUUGAACCGGGACCAAAGGCUUCCCUUUAGUCCCGGUUCGUGUCAUCAACCGGGACCAAUGAGGUGCCUAUAUAUACCCCCUCGCGCAAGAGGAGAGCACAGUGCUCUAUUUUUUCUGGCCGAGGGGGAGAGGGCUUUGUGGUGCUCUAGCUCACCUCCUAUGCACAUGAGGUGUUCGAUGCAAUGCCCGAGCCACACUACUUAAGCUUUCUCCUCUCGAAGCUCGACCUCCAAGCUCCAUUUUCCUCGAGAUUUGUCUAGAUUUAGCGGUCCGUCACGUCCCGUCCCCGUCUUCACCGCCGUCGAUCACCCGCGCCGAUCUCAUCACCGACACCACCGUGGUGAGCCUCUUGUUCUUAUCUUCUUUCUGAAAUAAAAAAUAUUCUUACUUGUAUGUUUAGAUAGAUACUUGUAUCAUUUUCUUACAUUUAUUAUUGCAUCUUAUAUAGUGCGAUGGUUUUGGUAUCCGCCCCCGUCGGCCCUCGUCCUGUCUAUGAUUCGGAUUUGGUAUGUACAUUAUCUUUAUAACUAUUGGUUCAUUUAUUGUUUAUGAAAAUUAUGCCGACCAACGUGACAUAGAUUUUAUUUAUCUAGGAUGUAUGUGAAUCGGAAAUGCCAACCGACCCUAUUGUCGAGAGGUUAAAUUUAGUUGAAGAAGAAAACAAUUUGUUGAAGGAAAAAAUAAAAAAAAUUGAGGAGGAGAAGAUGAUAUUGGAGUUGCAUGUUGCGGAUGUCGUCGAUGAUCACAAGAUCAAGAUGGAUGCAAUGCGCUUGAAGAUUAUAAAGAUUAGAAAAUAUGCCAUUCAUACCGAGGCUUGGUAUCAUUAUGCCGUUGGAUCAAUUGUUACCCUGGUUGCGAUUAUGAUCGCAUUUGUUUUCGCAUUGAAAUGUUUUACAUAGUUUCAAUGUAUGGUUUAAUUAAUUAGAUGCUCUGGAGAGCUAUAUGUUGUUAGAUGAGAACUAUGUAUGCACUUUGGUUUUAAUGUGAUGAUGAACUUCUAUUAAUUUGGACACUUAAUUAUAUAUAAUGCACGCAGAUGAACCGGCAAUGGAUGUACGGUGACAGACACACCCGCGAGUACAUUAAGGGCGUGCAUGAGUUUCUCAAUGCGGCUGAGGCAAACAAGCAGAAUGGUUUUAUGUGUUGUCCAUGCACUGAAUGUGGGAAUAAAAGGUCUUACUCUAACCGGAAAAUCCUUCACUCCCACCUGCUUUACAAGGGUUUCAUGCCACACUAUAAUGUUUGGACGAGGCACGGAGAAAUAGGGGUUAUGAUGGAAGACGGCGAAGAAGAAGAGUACGAUGACAACUAUGUGCCCCCUGAAUACGGUGAUGCUGCAACGGGGGGAGCUGGUGAAGAUCAAGAGGAACCAGACGAUGUGCCCAAUGAUGCUGCCACGGGUGAAGCUGCUGAAGAUCAAGAGGAACCAGACGAUGUGCCCGAUGAUGAUGAUCUCCGCCGGGUCAUUGUCGAUGCAAGGACGCAAUGCAUUAGUCAAAAGGAGAAGCUGAAGUUCGAUCGCAUGUUAGAGGAUCACAAAAAAGGGUUAUACCCCAAUUGCGAAGAUGGCAACACAAAGCUCGGUACCGUACUGGAAUUGCUGCAGUGGAAGGCAGAGAAUGCUGUGGCUGACAAAGGAUUUGAGGAGCUACUGAAUAUAUUGAAGAAGAAGCUUCCAAAGGAUAACGAAUUGCCCGACAGUACAUACGCAGCAAAGAAGGUCGUAUGCCCUCUAGGAUUGGAGGUGGAGAAGAUACAUGCAUGCCCUAAUGACUGCAUCCUCUACCGCGGUGCAUACAAGGAUCUGAACGCAUGCCCGGUAUGCGAUGCGUUGCGGUAUAAGAUCAGACGAGAUGACCCUGGUGAUGUUGACGGCGAGCCCCUCAGGAAGAGGAUUCCUGCGAAGGUGAUGUGGUAUGCUGCUAUAAUACCACGGUUGAAACGUCUCUUCAGAAACGAAGAGCAUGCCAAGUUGAUGCGAUGGCACAGUGAGAACCGAAAGAAAGAUGGGAAGUUGAGAGCACCCGCUGACGGGUCAUAGUGGAGAAAAAUCAAGACAAAGUACUGGGAUGAGUUUGCAAAGGUCCCAAGGAAUGUAUGGUUUGCUUUAAGCACGGAUGGCAUUAAUCCUUUCGGGGAGCAGAGCAGCAAUCACAGCACCUGGCCCGUAACUCUAUGUAUGUAUAACCUUCCUCCUUGGAUGUGCAUGAAGCGGAAGUUCAUUAUGAUGCCAGUUCUCAUCCAAGGCCCUAAGAAACCCGGCAACGAAAUUGAUGUGUACCUAAGGCCAUUAGUUGAAGAACUUUUACAGAUGUGGAAUGGAAACGGUGUACGUACAUGGGAUGAGCACAGACAGGAGGAAUUUAACCUUAAGGCGUUGCUGUUCGUGACCAUCAACGAUUGGCCUGCUCUCAGUAACCUUUCAGGACAGACAAACAAAGGAUACCACGCAUGCACGCACUGUUUAGAUGACACUGAAAGUAUAUACCUGGACAAAUGCAGGAAGAAUGUGUACCUGGGCCAUCGUCGAUUUCUUCCGACCAACCAUCAAUGUCGAAAGAAAGGCAAUCAUUUCAAAGGCGAGGAAGAUCACCGGAAGAAGCCCGCCAUGCGCACCGGUGAUCACGUGCUUGCCAUGGUCAAUGAUUUACACUACGUAAUCUUCGGAAAGGGUCCCGGUGGACUAGCUGUCCCGAAUGACGCGGCCGCCCCUGCCCCGACGCGGCCGCCCCGGCCCGCCUCCGUCGCCGUCGCCCGCNNNNNNNNNNNNNNNNNNNNNNNNNNNNNNNNNNNNNNNNNNNNNNNNNNNNNNNNNNNNNNNNNNNNNNNNNNNNNNNNNNNNNNNNNNNNNNNNNNNNNNNNNNNNNNNNNNNNNNNNNNNNNNNNNNNNNNNNNNNNNNNNNNNNNNNNNNNNNNNNNNNNNNNNNNNNNNNNNNNNNNNNNNNNNNNNNNNNNNNNNNNNNNNNNNNNNNNNNNNNNNNNNNNNNNNNNNNNNNNNNNNNNNNNNNNNNNNNNNNNNNNNNNNNNNNAUUUUUUUGUUCAUAGAUGCAUGAUAGAUGAUCAAAUGAUGUUUUUUUUGUUCAUAGAUGAUCAUAUGAUUUUUUUAGGUUAUUUUCAUUUGUAGAAUUUUUUUAUGUAUCUAGGAAUAUUUUUGUUUAUAGAUGAUAGAUGAUCAAAUGAUGAAUAUUUUUGUUCAUAGAUGAUAGAUGAUCAAAUGAUGAUUUUUUUGUUCAUAGAUGAUAGAUGAUCAAAUGAUGUUUUUUUUGUUCAUAGAUGAUCAUAUGAUUUUUUAGGUUAUUUUCAUUUGUAGAAAUUUUUUAUGUAUCUAGGAAUAUUUUUGUUCAUAGAUGAUAGAUGAUAUAUAUGAUGAUGAUAUAUAUGAUGAUGUUUUUUUNNNNNNNNNNNNNNNNNNNNNNNNNNNNNNNNNNNNNNNNNNNNNNNNNNNNNNNNNNNNNNNNNNNNNNNNNNNNNNNNNNNNNNNNNNNNNNNNNNNNNNNNNNNNNNNNNNNNNNNNNNNNNNNNNNNNNNNNNNNNNNNNNNNNNNNNNNNNNNNNNNNNNNNNNGAGGAGAGGAAGAAAAGGAAGAGGAGAAGAAGAAAGGAAUAGAGGAGAAGAAGAGAAAAUUAGAAUAUAUAUUCUAUUUUCUCUUUUCUCCUCUAUUCCUUUCUUCUUCUCUUCUUUUUUUUCUUCUUUUUUUUCUUCGACACAUGGGGGGGGGGUCGAGAACGUCGGACAUUCAUGAGAGAGGCGAGGAAGAAGGGGAAGAAGAGGGAGAAGAAGAGGAGAGGAGGAAGAGGAAGUCUUCUCCUCUAUUCUUUCUUUUCUUCUUUUUUCUUCUUCUUCUUCCUCUUUAUUUUAUUGGGAACGAGGGUUGUUGAGAGGUCGAGGAGCGGUAGAGGAGAAACCCUAAAUAGAAAGUAUCGUCGGUGUGAGAUACAUGUACCAUCGGUGUCGGACACUACACCCACAUCCCACAAGUGGCGCGGGCUUCGACGCCCACGUCACUUGUGGGACGUGGAUGUAGUGUCCGACACCGAAGGCCACAUGUAUCUCACACCCAUGAUACUUGCUAGCUAUUUAGGGUUUCCUCUACCGAAAAGAAGAGGAGAAAUAAAUAAGAAGAAGAAAAAAGAAGAAAAAAGAAGAAAAAGAAGAGGAGAAGAAGAAAGGAAUAGUGGAGAAGAAGAGAAAAUAGAAUAUAUUCUAUUUUCUCUUUUCUCCACUAUUCCUUUCUUCUUCUCCUCUUUUUUUUCUUCUUUUCUUCUUCUUCUUCUUCUUCUUCUUCUUCUUCUUCUUCUUCUUCUUCUUAUUCUUAUUAUCCGGAAGUAGAGAGAGGUUUCCUAGUGUCAAAGUAUUGAAGAAAUCCAUGCCUUCAUCAUUAGCCGGAAGUAACCAGGGCAUGUUGGUACGAAGUUCUGCAAAGUUGUUUUGGAAUGGAGUCCCGGAUAGAAUAAUCCGCCUUUUGAUACGAAUUCAGCAGAGGCCUUCCAAAUAGCAAUAUUCGGAAGGCUCUUGCUGAACUUUGUACCAAAAAGCGAAUUAUCCUGUCUGGGACUCCGUUCCAGAACAACUUUGAAGAGCUUCGUACCAUCAUGCACAUGUUACUUUCGCCUAAUGAUGAAGACAUGGUUUUGUUGAAUCCCUUGACACUAGGCAACCUCCCGACCCCUCGGCGAUCCUAUCGAACAUGAGAGGAAGAAGAGGAUAAAAAAAGAAGAGGAAGAAGAAAAAAAAGAGGAGAAGAAAGAAUAGAGGAGAUCUUCUCCUCUAUUCUUUCUUCUCCUCUUAUUUUUCUUCUUCUUCCUCUUUUUUUUAUCGGGAACGAGGGUCGUCGAGGGACAUAGAUGUAGUGUCGUCGUUGUCGAUAUAUACCCCCUCCCAAUAGCUUACUAUGAUUAGGUAGCUAGUUCUACGUUUGGCACUAAUAUAUCCAUCUGUCAUGUUUGAAUAAUAAUUGCCAUGUUGUAAAUAUUUGUAGAAACUAUGGACACCGCCCUAGACGAAGUAACAGAAGAAGCGUUGUUGAGGGACAUAAUCGUAGAAGGAAGUGAUGCCAUCUCGUUGUUUCUCAACGAAACCGAUGGUCUGGAAGGAGAGGGUGAACAAGCUGGCUACGGUGACCUAAUGCCGGUGCAAGAAGAAGAACGUGAGGACGGCUCCGGUGACCCAAUGCCGGUGCAAGAAGGAGACCGUGAUGACGGCUCCGGUGACCGAACCAAGUCCGGCCAGGUAUAUAUAUUAGUUAAGCCUAUGCUGACUAGCUGAUUGAUGCAUUCAUUGUUUUGGUAUGUACACAUAUUAAUUAAGUCUUUGUUCUUUUUUCUAGCCCUCCGGAUCGAGCACAACUUCGGUAAAGAGAUGAGGCCCGAAGAAAAAGUUGAGCUCGGAUGAAAAGUUUGAGAUCAUAGAAAUCGCGCCCGAUGGCCAACCUAUUGAACCCCUCCGGACAAAGAGCGCAUUUGUUGCUCAGUGCGGGGUUCUGGUUAAGGACAAGAUCCCGAUAAGCAUCCAGCAAUGGUUUAAGCCGGCUACAGAAGACCCUGAGGUCUCUUAUGUCAAUGAUAUGCAGAAAAAUGAUCUUUGGACUGAGCUGAAGUCAAAUUUCACCCUACCGCCUGAGGAUAAUCCAGAGAACCCAGUUAAAGAGAAAUUAAUCAAGUCUUUUGCUCUGAAGAGGAUGGCAGAACUAUUCAGGAGGUGGAAGAAAGAGCUGAAUAAGUUUGUCGAAAAUAAUGAGACACCAGAAUUCAAGGGCAGAUAUGAGAAUAUCAGAGAUCAAUGGCCCGCAUUUGUGGCCCACAAGACAUCCGAAAAGAGUAAGAAGAUGUCGGCGACAAACAAGCAAAAUGCUGCGAAGAAGAAGCUUCACCAUCACACGGGGUCAGGUGGCUACCUCAUAGCCCGGCCUAAGUGGUCCAAGACUGAUAAUGAUCUGGUUCAUAAAGGGAUCGAACCAGAGACAAUUAACUAGCCAGACCGUUGCCGGACUUGGUUCUUCGGGGCUGGUGGAACACUGGACCCUGUAACAGGGAAGUGCAUUUGGACGAACGAUCAAAUGGACAUACCAGUCAGUAAGCUUAAGCAGUAUAUCGAAGCAGCGCAGGAAGGGACGUUCUUUCCAGACAGAGAGAACGACGAGCUCACAAUGGCCCUCGGGAAUCCUGAGCACCCUGGACGGACACGAGGCAUGCCAGGCUCCAUUCCGUGGAAGGUUGGGUUUCCGGACGCAGGCGGUUACAAAUCCCAUGAGAGGAGGAAAAAAGUGCAGCAGACCCAAAUGCAGGCGCUGCAAGCAAGGGUAGACGCGAUAGAGGAACAAGAAGCAAAUCGCAGCAAACGUACUGCCGAAGCCUCCCCCGAAGCUACCCCGCCAUCUCAGUGCAGAAGCAGCGUGGCUUCCACCGAGCUGCUUCAGCCGGAGCAUGCCUUGACGGCUCCUGCCAGCUAUCCCGUGGAUGCUAUAACGGAGUCUCAAAAUUGCCACCUUAUGAUGCAAUGGAUGAAUUUGAAGGUCAAGGCGGCUGUUGGCUCUGUUUUUCCUACUGAACCCGGCGCAACUUUUCACUGCCGGCGGAUACCAGAAGGAUAUGCUAGGGUGACGGUGGAUGAGAUAACAGAGGGAUUUCAGGACCUCCAGCUUGACCACCCUACCGGUGAAGGGGAGACUCGGCUGGGGUCUGCUCUGAAGACUCCAUGCCUAUGGCGGAAGGAGCUCAUCAACCUUCCGAACUGGACGCCACCACCUCCUCCUCCUCCUCUGAUGAGUCAGGGCACUCCGCCUCCACCGCCUCCUCCUCCGGCGAGUGAUGAUCAGGGCCCUCGGCCGGCUCCUUCUCCGGCGCGCGGCGGCACUCCGCCUCCUUCUCCGCCUGCACCGACGCACCCGAGCAGCCAACCUCCUCCUUCUCCGCCUCGUCAGCAAGGGCGGAAGAGACCUGCCGCCGCUCCAGCUGCUCUGGCGCGUUGUAGUCCUUCUCCUCCGCCUCUUAAGCAAGUAAAGAAGACAACCGCUACGUCUGCUCGGUCGGCGUCUAGCAGUACAACCAGAGGCGGGAGGACAUACAGAUUCGGUCCUUCUCUGAAGACUCCAGAGAAGUUACCAUAUGAGAGGACCCUGGAGGAGAACGCCGAGAUCAUGCGAGAAGAAGUGAGGAGCUUCUUUGAAGGGGUGAAAGCAAAGAAACAUCCACCUCCGGAGGAGAAGGUAGAUCGGGUGAAAGUGAAGCGCACUCUGGCUGCCCUAACAAAACCACCGAAGUCUGAUCCGCCGAAAGGAAACUAUGACCGCAUUAUUGGAAAGGAAUUUGCCGAAGCGGAGCGGUCGGGAAGUACUGUCAGUGAUCAAAGGCUAAAAGAACGACGAGCUGGGAAACAAAUUGCCCAGCUCAGCGAACAAGCGAAGCAAUCGUGCCCCCUGCUCAAGGUGCCUAGCCACAACGACGAUAAUGAUCCGAGGAUGGUGCCCGGUUAUAGCAAUCUUGCAGAUUACCUGCCCGACGAAGUACAUUAUGAACCCAUGGAGGUGCAGAUACAAAGAUACGAGUACGGGAAGCCUCUCGUCAAAGAUGAAAGAUCUCUAUCAACGAUGAUGCGAAGAUUGCAUGAUUGGUACUUGAAAAUCUACAGAGACUCUGGGGGGAGGAGUACUUUGUAUGUGAAAGUUAAAAAGGAGCAUGACCUCGUUGGAAUUGAUCUGUUGCCUGUUCCAUUUGAGGAGUUCUAUCAGUUUUUCAAUCAAUUGGCCCUCGAUAAAACAACGGUCGCCUGCUACUGUCUGUAAGUAGUACUACUUCUGUCAUUAAGUUUCUCUAUAUAGCUUAGCUCUUUCAUUGCAUGUAUUUAUAAUCAUCCUCACUAUAUUAUGCAGAUUGAAGAUCGCCGAAUUGAAGAAAAGACAAGUCGGUGAUAUUGGGUUCAUUAACACAUAUCUCAUAGAUGCAACUCAGGUUAAACUUCAUGCCGCAGCUACCGAGGCCAGCUUGCUACGAUCGUUCGUAAUAAAUCACAACAAAGAUAUAAUACUCUUUCCUUACAACUUCAGGUGAGUGUUACUGUCUUGUGCGUAUUCGGUUUCCCUUAUAUAUUAGUCAAGGUUAUAGUAAUGUAAUUCAUGAGUUAUGCAUGUGUGUGCAGUUUCCACUAUAUUCUCCUAGAGAUUAAGCUUGAGCAGGGAGUAGUAACCGUCUUGGACUCUAAACGAAAAGAUCCCAAGGAGUAUGCGGACAUGACUGAAAUCCUCAAGAAGUAAGUUAAAUCGAUCAUUAUCCACCAUAUCAGCAACUUUGUUCAUUUCCUGAUAUCAAGUAAUUGUUUUCUUUGUCCGGCAGGGUUUGGAGAAAAUUCACCAAAACAGUUCCGGGACUGCCGAAGGAGCUGGAAUUUAGACACCCGAAAGUAAGUACUAUAGUAGCAUGUUCCACGCAUCUCCUAGUGAUUCAAGCGCUAGUUUCAUCAAUACCAUUUAGCAUUCUUGCUUAUCAGUUUGAUUGACCUCUAUUUCUUGUAAAGUGGUUGUGGUAGGAACAAGGGAAUGAUUUCUGUGGAUACUACAUCUGCGAGUCCAUCCGCCACACGACCUGCGAGCGGGGCGGGUACUCUAACGAACAAUAUGAAGUACGUAAAUAACAACAUUCACAAUUUUAUUUUAUUACCAUCAUUUGUGUUGAGUUUCAUUCAUUUAUAUAUAUAUAUAUAUGUAUUGACCCCCUUCUUCAAAUUAGAUGUUUCGGAAGCGGGAUGAACUCCUAGCACCAGCUCGCAUGCGAGCAAUUCAAGAGGAAUUGGCGGCAUUCUUUCUUGACCACGUGAUCCCUGAAGACGGAGAAUUCUAUGUGGACCCUGAGUCCGUAUGAUUAUAUUUGUAAGAGAUAAUUAUUGUAUAUAUGUAGCCGGUAGUGUCAGAUAGAUAUACGAGAACUUGUUGUUCGACCAAUCUCUCGGAGAAGGAGAGGUGGUCGAUAUCACUUCUCUCUGUAUAUAUGCAUAUAUGUUCAUGACGAUCUUCUGUUUCCUUCAUUUGCUUACUAGCUAGCUAGCGUGUCUAGUCCUCUCUAUAUACGUAUGUAUAGUACGUAGCGUCGACCAAGCACGGACAUAACAGAGGACACUUCUCUCUAUUAAUUAUAACUAGCUAACACAAUAUAUGAAACACCUAAAUUAACCCCCCAAAACCCCCAACCCCCCCCCCUUUCAAAAAAAACAAAAACCCCAGCCACAGAAGUGCUGACGCUUGGAUGCUUAUUGGUCCCGGUUGGUGCCACCAACCGGGACCAAAGGGUCUCCUGACUGGGCUCUGCGCACUGCCCACGUGGAGGGCCUUUAGUCCCAGUUCUGGAUUGAACCGGGACUAAAGGGGGGAGGUAUUAGUACCGACACUUUAGUCCCGGUUCCUGAACCAGGACUAAAGGCCCUUACGAACCAGGACUAUAGGCCCUUUUUCUACCAGUGAAUGCUCUAAUAAUGAUGAUCAUCACACUUCUUUUUUACUUACAACUCAAGAAUUACAAAUCAAUACUUAGAACAAAAUAUGACUCUAUGUGAAUGCCUCCGGCGGUGUACCGGGAUAUGCAAUGAAUCAAGAGUGACAUGUAUAAAAAAUUAUGAAUGGUGGCUUUGCCACAAAUACGAUGUCAGCUACAUGAUCAUGCAUGGCAAUAUGACAAUGAUGAAGCGUGUCAUAACAAACAGAACGGUGGAAAGUUGCAUGGCAAUAUAUCUCAGAAUGGCCAUGGAAAUGCCAUAAUAGGUAGGUAUGGUAGCUGUUUCGAGGAAGGUAAAUGGUGGGUGUAUGAUACCGGUGAAAAGUGCGCGGUAAUAGAGAGGCUAGCAAAUGUGGAAGGGUGAGAGUGCGUAUAAACCAUGGACUAAACAUUAGUCAUAAAGAACUCACAUACUUAUUGCCAAAAUCUAUUAGUUAUCGAAACAAAGUACUACGCGCAUGAUCCUAGGGGGAUAGAUUUGUAGGAAAAGACCAUCGCUCGUCCCCGACCGCUAGUCAUAAGGAAGACAAUCAAUAAAUAAAUCAUGCUCCAACUUCAUCACAUGACGGUUCACCAUACGUGCAUCCUACGGGAAUCAAAAAUUUCAACACAAGUAUUUCUCAAAUUCAUAGCUACUCAACUAGCAUGACUCUAAUAUCACCAUCUCCAUAUCUCAAAACAAUUAUCAAGUAUCAAACUUCUCAUAGUAUUCAAUGCACUUAUAUGAAAGUUAUUAUUAUGCCUAAAAGCAAAUUGCCAUGCAGUUAUAAAGGACUCUCAAAAUAAUAUAAGUGAAGCAUGAGAGAUCAAUUAUUUCUAUAAAAUGAAACCACCACAAUGCUCUAAAAGAUAUAAGUGAAACACUAGAGCAAAAACUAUAUAGCUCAAAAGAUAUAAAUGAAGCACAUAGAGUAUUCUAAUAAAUUCCGAUUCAUGUGUCUCUCUUUCAAAAGGUAUGUACAGCAAGGAUGAUUGUGGUAACCUAAAAAAACAAAUACUCAAAUCAUACAAGACGCUCCAAGCAAAACACAUAUCAUGUGGGGAAUAAAAAUAUAGCUCCAAGUAAAGUUACCGAUGAACGGAGAGAAAAGAGGGGAUGCGUUUUGGGGCAUCCCCAAGCUUAGGCAUUUUUGUGUCCUUGGAUUUUACCUUGGGAUGCCUUGGGCAUCCCCAAGAUUAGGCUCUUGCCACUCCUUGUUCCAUAAGCCAUCAAAUCUUUACCCAAAACUUGAAAACUUCACAACACAAAACUUAAUAGAAAAUCUCAUGAGCUCCGUUAGCGAAAGAAAACAAAACACCACUUCAAGGUACUGUAAUGAACUCAUUCUUUAUUUAUAUUGGUGUUAAACCUACUGUAUUACAAAUUUUCUAUGGUUUAUAAACUCCAUUACUAGCCAUAGAUUCAUCAAAAUAAGCAAACAACAUACGAAAAACAUAAUGUAUCAAAAACAGAUCAUUCUGUGGUAAUUUGUAUCAAACACAUACUUAUGGAACAUCAAAAAUUCUAAAAUAAAUUUCUGGAUGUGAGGAAUUUAUCUAUUAAUCAUCUACAAAAAGAACUAACUAAAUAGCACUCUCCAAUAAGAAGUUGUAGCUAAUCUCGUGAGCACUAAAGUUUUUGUUUUUUACGGCAAGAUCAAAAAGACUUCCCCCAAGUCUUCCCAACGGUUCUACUAGGCACAAACACUAAUUAAACACAAAAAACACAACCAAAACAAAGGCUAGAUAAAUUAUUUAUUACUAAACAGGAACAAAAAGCAAGAAACAAAAAUAAAGUAGGGUUGCCUCCUAACAAGCGCUAUCGUUGAACGCCCCUAACUAGGCAUAAAAGCGAGGAUAGAUCUAGGUAUUUGCCAUCUUUGGUAGGCAAUCCAUAGAUGGCUCUCAUAAUAGAUUCAUAUGGUAAUUUAAUUUUCUUUCUAGGGAAGUGUUCCAUGCCUUUCCUUAACAGAAAUUGGAAUAUAAUAUUCCCUUCCUUCAUAUCGAUGAUUGCACCAAUCGUUCUAUGGAAAGGUCUACCAAGAAUAAUAGGACAUGAAGGAUUGCAAUCUAUAUCAAGAACAAAGAAAUCUACAGGCAAAUAAUUCCUAUUUUCAACAAUAAGAAUAUCAUCAAUUCUUUCCAUAGGUUUCUUAAUGGUGGAAUCCGCAAGGUGCAAGUUUAAAGAACAAUCAUCAAAUUGACGGAAAUUUGGCAAAUCACACAAAGUUUUUGGGAUCGUGGAAACACUAGCACCCAAAUCACACAAAGCAUAUCAUUCAUGAUCUUUAAUUUUAAUUUUAAUUGUAGGUUCUCACUCAUCAUAAAGUUUUCUAGGCAUAGAAACUUCCAACUCAAGUUUUUCUUCGUAAGAUUGCAUUAAAACAUCAAAGAUAUGUUUAGUAAAAGCUUUAUUUUGACUAUAAGCAUGAGGAGAAUUUAGCACGGAUUGCAACAAGGAAAUGCAAUCUAUCAAAGAGCAAUUAUCAUAAUUAAAUUCCUUGAAAUCCAAGAUAGUGGGUUUCGUUGCUAUCUAAAGUUUUUAACCUCUUCAAUCCCACUUUUACCAAUUUUUGCAUCAAGAUCUAAAAACUCCGAAUUUUUGGGAUGCCUUUUAACUAAAAUUGACUCAUCUCCAGUCCCAUCAUUAUCAAUAUUCAUAUUGCAAAACAAUUAUUUAAUAGGGGACACAUCAAUCACUUUUAGAUUUUCAUCCUUAUUAUCAUGAAAACUAGAAGAACAUGCUUUCAUAAAGCAAGCCUUUUUUGCACGCAUCCUAGAGGUUCUUUAUUUGCACUCAUCAAUGGAAAUUCUCAUGGCUUUGAGAGACUCAUUGAUAUCAUGCUUAGGUGGAAUAGAUCUAAGUAUCAAAGAAUCAACAUCAAGAGAAAUUCUAUCCACGUUCCUAGCCAACUCAUCAAUCUUAAGCAAUUUUUCUUCAGUCAAAGCAUUAAAACUCUUUUGCGAACUAAUAAAUUCUUUAAUAUUAGAUUCAAAAUCAAAGGGCAUCUUAUUAUAAUUUGCGUAAGAAUUGUUGUAGUAAUUACCAUAACUAUUAGAGUAAUUACUAGGAAACGACCUAGAAAAAAAUUACCUCUAUACGCGUUGUUACCAAAAUUGUUCCUACCAACAAAAUUCACAUCCAUAGAUUCAUCAUUAUUCUCAAUUAAAGUAGACAAAGGCAUAUCAUUGGGAUCAGUAGGAAUACUCUUAUUAGCAAACAAUUUCCUAAGUUCAUCUAUCUUUCCACUCAAAACAUUAAUCUCUUCAAUUGCAUGCACCUUUUUACUAGUAGAUCUUUUAGUGUGCCAUUGAGAAUAAUUAAUCAUAAUAUUAUCUAGGAGUUUGGUAGCUUCUCGUAAAGUGAUUUUCAUAAAAGUUCCUCCUGCGGCCGAAUCUAAAAGAUUUCUAGAAGCAAAAUUUAAUCCAGCAUAUUUUUUUUGUAUAAUCAUCCAUAAAUUCAAACCAUGUGUAGGGCAAUUACGUAUCAUUAAUUUCAUCCUCUCUCAAUAUUGUGCAACAUAGUCAUGAUCAAGUAUAGACGUUUUGGAACUGCAAGGCCCAUUGAAUUCCUAUGGUGCAGAUCGAUGCAACGUUCAAACGCGUUAAGCAGAGAGGCCGCAAGAAAACGGAAGCAGCAACAGUGCGACCACGAGCUUGGAUUUGGGAAAGAUCAUGCCGACGGCCGGCUUCCUCCACUGUCGCGCCGCCGUCCUCAGCGCCCCUGUUCUCUGGGGAGGAGCGCGAGCGGGCGGUGCGGCCUCACCGUCUCGGUCUCGUCCUCCAAUGGUAGGUCUGCCUUUACCUGUCCCCCUUCUUGUAUUUUCCUGUGGAGUUGUUUGAGAUCUUGGAGUUCAGUUCAACAAUAGUAAGAUGAGGUUCGAACCUGCUAGGAGCCGAAUCUUAGUAUUACCGCUCAUACCGAUUUCAUGGUCCAUUCUGAAGCCAUAGCGUAUCGGUUGAAUCCGAUAAGAUUUAAUUCCAACUUCUUAGCUAAUUAUCCUUAGCUGGCAAAAUUAGAGAUCCAAUUGGGCGUUGUUGAGAUCAAUCAGGUGUUGAAUAUACAUGGCAGGAUAGUUUCCUUAUGCAAUAUUCAGUUACAAACUUGUGAUUUCAGAAGUCUAUUUCUGAUGUUUAAGUUCAGACUGCGCGCUUGCACAUACACUGAAGUAACAAUGGUUCAUAUUUAACGGUGUAGGUGCAGCUGGGCUCUCCCCAUUGAGUGACUCGGAGAAGAAAUGCAGGAGCUCAUGGACAGCAUCCGUGUCAUCAGCCUCAAAGUACCCGUGGGCUUUCCUUUCCUUUAACAUUAAUUUUUCCAAAUUUAUUUUCUUUUAGCUCAUAAGAUAAAUUAUGUCAGAACUAGAAUUUUCUUAUUUGGAAUUGAGUACAUACAAAUAAAGUUAUAUAGAGUAGCUAAUACAUGGCCGACCACUGCUACUGAAUUCAGUGAUCUCCACACAGUUGUCUGAGGACGUUUGUGCUAUGGUUGAUUGAGAUUCACUUGAUUGAGUAUGCACGUCAAUAUUCAAGUUGGG